rnacentral:lncRNA from 1 species
GAAAUCGAGAGAAACCAGAGACUUAAGAGUGAACUUCGGUCCAGAAAUGCUGCUACACCAUGUGAAGUCGAGGUGAUAGGAAGUUUGUGAAGUUGUGGAACUAAUAUGAGGGUGCAGCUUUGGUCAAGAUGAUUCACGUGACCUGUGUACCACAUGCCUGCGUACGAAACUAGUAGUCUAUGCAAUGCAGGAUUGAGGCUACGUGCAUCUGGUCAUCCUGAGAAUCUUCAAUGUGGGGGCAUCAUGGAUUGAGGGUCCCAAUUAGCAUGUUCAGGUAAAUGAUUGCAGAUUAUGUGGAGCGACAUAAGUCUUUAGUUACUUUUGAUGUUAGGUCAAGGCCUUAAAUUGUUGUGUAUGGUUUUCAAAGCCAGCACAAAAGCCAAUUAUCGGGUUCUGAAUGAUGUAAAAUUAUCUGGAUACAACCUUUCUUACCUUUGAUAAUUAUAACAUGAUUAUUUUAGGACAUUUUUCUUGGCUUCUCCUAAUCUUUAUGCUAUAAUCCGUCUAAGAUGACUAUCUUUAGAUUGUCAUUUUCCUAGUCAUCUCUUCAACCAUUGGUCAACAUGAAUCUUCUGGGUCUUUCUGAUAGUCAUGUCUUUUAUUCCAAACCGAGCUAAAUGAUAAGAAUAUCUUUACUUGUGACGUCUUUUAGUUUAUGGGUUUUAAAUCUUUGUGGAUUUGCAUUGAUAUGAUAUUAUAUUACAUGAUUGAAGAGGGUGCUAGCUAGCGAUUGAAUUUCUCAUGUCAAGAUGGGGUGAUUUGUCCUAUUCUGAAAGAAAUAUCUUAUUGCAAAAGGGUUAAAGAGAUUGUUGUUCACUUGUCUUUGUACUAGAAUAUUUUAAGCCUGGUACAUCUGUUGCCUUUUGGCAUCAGGACAAUAGGGGCAACACUAACGACACUUAGCCUGACAUCCCAUCAUAUGCAUAUGUUUUCUUCUGUAGACACACUGUGAAUUGUGUGAGGGGACAUGCAAGUGCCAUGUUGUGCACCCUACAUGACAGAUGAAAAGAGAGCUUUUUCAUUGCAUUUUUAAUUUUCCUCUUUUGGCUGCAUAUUCUUUACCUAAUUUAGCUCAGAAUAACCGCAAUCCAUGCCAAGAUUCAUUCCUGUAUUGCACAUCAUCCUUUGAAAUGAUCCUUGAUUUAAGGAGCAAAGUGUUUUGUCCAUCAUGCACCAAUCAAGACCUACAGCUUCAUAAACAACUGUGCUCAACAUAAUGGAGUAGUUAUUAGAGACAAUGAAAUCAUCUAUAUCUGAGCAAUAUGCCAAUCAUGGAUGAUAAGAAGUGCACCUUCUGUAGAUGCUGCUUUUUUAUGCUCUUGAAAUUCCUUUACAAAGGACAAAUUAUGGGCGGGCCACAGAAUUAGGCAAAAAGAAAUAUUUAUAGUAUUUUCCCCUGACUCAGGGCUGACACAUGGGCAAGUGGAGUCCUUUUAAUGGCAUGUCAUUUUUUUAAGCUCUCCUUAGUUGUCAAUAAGUUAAAAGACUUAGGAAAUCCUCAGAAGAGGACAACAUAGCAUCACCUUUCCCCCACCAGCAUAAAAUAAAGCAGAAUAUAAUAGAAUAAAAGACAUGUAGAAGGGGGCACAGAGCCAGACACUUCCAAACUCCCCAGAAAAGGACAAGAAAGAGGAGAGUACAAAAAUGAGCAAAACCUCUCUAAUCUUGGAAGAUGGGUUAGUAAGCAAGAACAAUACUAAGAAAGGGAAAAUGAGAAGACUCAAUCGUCUUUAAUUAAUAAAAGUAUAUCACAUCACUUGGUAUACCAAUUCACGAACCUAUGUUAGUAUGCUCGGUAUUAUUCUUGUCCCUUAACAUCACAAGCUUGAUUCUACGGUUUCAUGAGAUAUUAUCAAUUUCGGUAUUACUUAAUUCGGGGGAAAUUUUAAAUUUCCUUGCAUGAGAUAGAGCAAAAGGCUUGUUAGAGAAAUAAAAAUAGAAGCCAUGCAAUCAUAAGGUGAAGAGAACAAUAUUAUGACUUUAAAUCUUCUUUCAUUUCUUAUUCCACUCGAAAGGAAUGUUGAGUCCAUCUCCAAAAGGAUUAGAUUAAUGCAAUGGUAUUAUUAAUUAAUUUUCUCUGUCAUACUCCAUUAAAAACACAGUUUCAAAAGCUUUGGUCUAGGUUCCAAACUCUUCCAUGGUUUAAAUACGAUCAAGACAGAACGUAAAAGACUAGUCAUUUUAGUCGCCCAUCGCACAUGCUUCUCCUUUAACUCAGCGUACUAGAAACUUGUCACGUCACUUUGUACCAUGAUUAUCGCAAUGAAUUCUUGAACUUGCAUGGAAUUCGUCCACGAGAUAAGCUUGCCAUAGCAUGGAAUUCCAUAUUAAAGGCAGAAACUCCGUUUUUAUCAAGAUUCUUUUGGACUGAUGCUAAAGUUGGCCUGUUUUGGAGGUAUUCUACUUUCUGAUUCGAGCCUUUCAUAUGCUCACGAAACCCUCAAUCUGAUUACUGGUGUUUAGCUUGCAAGGACGUGUCAAGAAAGAUAAGGUCAUAAAAAAACAACUAUUAUCGUCAUCAUUACAUCCCAAAGAAAAUUGGACUGCCUUAUGGUUUAAUGAAUUUUAUGCAAACCCUCGUACAUGAAUUUAUAGUAAGACUCACUUUGAUAUGCUAAUUCGAUCAUUAGAAGAGAGCGUUUGGAAUGAAAUUAAAUCAAAUUAAUUUAAUUUAUUUUGUAUAAUUUUUUGAUACUAGAAAGUAAAUCGAACAUGGAUUUGAGAUUUAUCUUUUUCAUUAGCUUUUUACAUUAUUAAUUGUUAUAACCAUCAAAGGUUAAAUCAUAUACAUUGACUUGAAGUGUAUAUUUAGUCUUUUGUUUGAUUACCUAAGUAACUACUUAUUAGAAUGUUAGGUAGAUUUCAAAUUGAAAUUUUGGUUGUUUAUUGCAUGCGUAAUUUAUUUGACCAAAAAAAAAAAAAUUUGUUAUAGCUUGCGUAAGUUGACCCAUGAUCCCCACAAAGUCCUAUGAAAGGACUUGUAGCCAGAGGAAGGUGAAGACAAGUUUGACUACGCAGUCUUGUCUGGUUUCAAAUUUACGGCUUUUGACUUGUCGUGACAAUUAUCUUCUUUCUUGGCCCCUCGUAUAUCGUCCCUCUUUUAAAAAAAUUAAAAAUUAAAAAGCAGUUUGCCCACAAAAUUUGAAGGUUAAUAAAUAAUUUAUUAUCAUGACAUUUGAAUUUUGGACCUUAAUUAGCCUAGACUAGUUCCAACAAAAUAUAGGCAAACCAUUUAGUCAUGAUCAUUUAUUGGGGUUCACCAAUAAAAAAAGCGAUUAUGGACCCAAAAUUCCUCCGACUGAGAAAUGCUUCGAUUUGAAUAUGGCAUUACCGCUUUCAAACAAAAUGUAGCUAGUCAAUUUGUGGAGGCUCUAUUGAUGCACCAAGGCUUUUAGUUAUUUGCCAUUCUUAAUGUUAGUUACCUUUGGUGUCUUUCUUGCAUAAGAUCAAGAAAAGAUGGCUGUGAUAAGGGUGAAAAUCAGAUCCAAUUCAACUCAGGAGCUACACCAAACUGGCAUGAAACCAUUGGUUCGAGCCUAGUAUAGGAAUAGCUGGUUUGGUUUCGUAGAACUAGUCUAGGACCGGCUCAAUCACCGAUUCCAAGGUGAGAACCACUAGUUCUACUUGGGAAUCAAUUCAACUAGUUCAGUUUCUGAAUUGGAUGAAUUCUAAACCAGUUUUGAAGUUUCGUUUAGAAAAAAAAGAUUGGAACGCAUCAAUAAUUGAGUCGUGGUUUUUAACAUGAGCAAAGAUGAUAACCACUUGACCAAAGAAUUCUACUGAAGUAAAAUGAUACAACUUGUGUGUGUAUAUAUAUAUAUGUUUGCCUUUUUAAUUAAAAUAUGAUUGUACCCGACCUUAAAAGGCGGUUCAAUCCGAUUGGGACGAGCACACAUCCGUCCGAAAAUCUCUUAAAGCGUGGCAAUCCCAUCUUGUCAUCAUUCGCCGAUGCUUGACAAAAUAAAAAUGUGCUGACUACUGUGGCGGUGGAGAAAUUCCAAUCGCUGAACAAGAGGCUCUCUUUGUCUCAUUGUCACAUGGGUUAAGAAAGAUCCGAGCCCCAGCAUGAUAUCAAAACGUGUCCGACUGUUUCUUUGUCCUGAUCUUUUCCUUUUGAUUUGUAAACAUGAGGCGGACGCAGUUGACAAAGAGUUUUCUUGCGAAUCGUUUAUAUAAUUAGGAUUCCAACCGGCAGGUUCAGGACAAUAAUUCACACCUCAAAUGCUUCAUUUAGGUUACGGCAACUUCGAUUUCCACCCACUGAAGCUUUGCAAAUUAACUUCCAUAUGCACAAACGUGGAGCUUUUGUCUUUUUCACGAGCGGCAAUCCAUCGAGACGCGUGCACGUUUACAUUAUUUAUGAAAUAAUCACGCGUCAUGCGCUUGACUAGGAACUAAUAACAAAGAUCAUACUUUACAGAGAAGAUGACGGGAGGGGCAAAAAAGAACAAAGACAAUAGUUGAUUCUUUAUCACUUAAUCCUAAUCAUAGAGAGUGCCUUCUCAAGAUUCUCGGCCUUCAUCUGAACGUAAUCCUUCACCGUGAUGGACCGGAACCGAGCAGCGUCCUCUCGGCCUGAGGCCUGUGUGAGUUCAUGAAUAGGGCCGACGUGAAAAUCCGUCGGGGGUCCGUAAAAGUAACCGACGGUUAGCCGGUGCGUAUUCUCACUUGGGAUCACCCGGUGAACGACACUAGGGAACAUGGCAUUGGACAUGAUGUGGAGCAUGUCACCCACGUUCACCACAAGUGCACCGUUCAUGGGAAACACGGGAACCCAGCCUCGGCCUUCCAUGUGGACUUGGAGCCCAUGUGCGCUGUGGUUUUGAUGAAGAAUUGUCAAGAGGAAGGUAUCGGUGUGCGGCGCGAGCCCCAUGGCCUGGCGCGGAUCGGGACACCGCGGGUACGAGUUCAGCUGCAGCGCAGUGCAGGCGUUGCUCCGGAGUCGCGGCCAGUCGACAUCGUGCUCGGAUAUGCCGAGGUACUUCAGGAUCAUGGCGAGUAGUCUCUCUGAGAGCGCCUUCAUUUUGUCCUGAUAGUCUUCCAUUACUUCACUGUUGUACGUGACCCCAAGAAAACACGAGAGGACAAAAACAUAAUGAUGCCCAGUACAAGUAAGAUCAAUAAUGCUAACGAUACCAAGACAAGUCUAUUAGAUCUGCAUAAAACCAAGUUUUGUAAAUACAUUUUUGUAUUUAUAGCAUUAUUCAUAGUGGAAAUCACUCCUUCACUAAAAUAAGAAAUUAGUGUUGAGCAUAUUACAAGCUUUCGCUGGAAGUGGCUUAUUAGAUCUGCAAAAGCGAUAAAAACCUAAGAAUUUUUCCGCAUCACUCCGUAGUAAGCUUGAAUAACAAGUUCUGUAAUCUUUGAUAAAUAUGCAGCUCCCUCCCCUCUUUUAGCUCUUUGAUUUUCAGGUUCACUAGAAUCACAAAGUCGACUACUUUCUGGAGGAGUAUCUGAAUCUCUAGAAAGAAGGAAAGAAGACUAUUCAAUUUAGUCAUCAUGCAAGUAAGUACAUAGGGAAAAAUAGGUAGCUAAUCUUUUUAAUUUGCCUUUGGUGCUAGAAUGGUAUUGAACUAGGUUCAGGAGUGAAGUAGAACACCAUAUUCCUCGCACUGAAAGAGUAAUUAUCUACUUAUUGAUUUAUAAAGACUUUUAAAUUAUCACCAAAAUUUAAUGAAAGAUUUCUCCAGCCAAACCCUGGUUCUUCCUAGUCAUGCCUAAAUAAACCAUCUACCCACUCAUCACCUUCUCCACGUGCAUGAACUGACCAUGCAUGGAAGUUACCACUCACCAAAACUUGCGAUACCCAUGAGGCCAAACCUCCCUAGCAUGCUCCAAUGGUGAUCCCAUCAUGGUAAACCCUUCAUGCCACAUGAACUUGUUGAAGAACGGUGCGAUCCGAGCGAUGCCAUAGCCUGUAGCUCCACUGGGGGACCUGAGGGCCUUUACCUUGGCUCUUGCGGGGAGCGUGAAAAACCGCCAGGCUUGCGACUCAACCUCCCUCAGAAGACUUGAAGGGAUUCCGUGGUUGGUGACCUGGAAUAUGCCCAUAAUUUUGCAUGCAUGACCCGCCAUUUCGAUCGCAUCCGGGCUAUCGAGAUCGAUGGCUGGAAUUGAGAAGUGAUCGCCAUCUAAAUUGAACAUCCUCCUUGGAGACUCAUCGUCCGAUUGAGGCCAUGAAUGCGAUUGCGGCACUUCUUCAACAGAAUCAAAGUCUAUGGGGAUGAUGUACUGAAGAUGGAGAGGUGUCUCUGUGUAGGCUCCAGAGAGAGUAGCCAUGAAAAGCUGGAAUUUGAAAGGAAAAUAGAAGCUAACAAGGAAAGAUAGGGUUCUUUAUAUGGUCUUCUUUCAUUAAUCAUAGAAGGUUAUAUAUAUGCACGCCCACUAAUGGAGUGAGUAUAUUAAUGUAAACAUCUGGUUCAAAUGUUAAUAGGGUUAAAAUGGGGCCGGCUCUUGGACAGAAGUGGUGUCUGGAUGUGGUUUUGGAAAGAUGUUGGGGAAGGUGGAAUAAGACAAAAUAGUGGAAAGAAAAAAUUUGAAGAAAUUGUGGCGUCUCAAUAAGACUCCAAACACUUUUUAGUGUUUACAUGACAAGGCUGUUUUUUCCUUUCUUUCCUCUCUUCUUUCUUUGCGCUCUCGUGUGGACGAUAAACACAUGCUUUGUCCACUAGUGGGAAAGAGAGAAAUGGACCCACUUAAAGGGUCUAAUUGGAUAGAAAUACAGUACGGACUUGUUAUCUGUAUGAUAUAUGGUGGAAAUUGGGCAGAACUAAUCAUACUAGAUAAACUAAUGUAUUGGACCAUGCACUUUUUCUAACAAAAUCCAACACGGUCUUAAUUACUAUAUAUUGACUUGGGAUUGGAGUUAAUUUAGUGAAAGAAUUUAGGAAUUUUUUUUUUCAUAUGUAGUUACAUAAAGUACACAUAAGAUUAUAAUCAUGAUGGGCCGAGAGUGGUGUCGAGGUACUUGUACUAGGAAUUCAAGGAUGGAAUAGUUAUCAUUUUAGAGGAAAUUUCAAGGUGGGGUUGGUCGCCAUGCCAAAUUGGUCGAGAGUUGAUGUUGCUUCCCGAUGAUAGUCAUACUAGGUUGAAACUGGUUAUUAUGCUUAAGUGAUCUGUAUAUCUCAUUCGAGAAAAUGAAUACCCAAGCUAAAUUGGGCAUGGUAUGAUCAAUUAUGAGGAUGUUAUUUGACAUAUUGUACUUGAAAAUAAUCUAUCGAGGGAAGGUUGGCUUGGUAAUCUGACUCACCAAGCACUAUAGGGCUUGUCCUUGAUGAGAAAACUUUGGGCUUGACAAACAGUAUCAGAGUGGGUUUCCCAAACUGUAUGGCGAGUGUUGAGAAGAGAUCUAUUGUCAUGUUUCCAACAAGAAGAGAAAUCUCCAUUUGUUUGCUAAGAUUAGGAGAAGCCUAGUAGGCAAAAGAAAGUUUUGCUGAGGGAGCAUACUUGGCUUGAGAUGCCACAGUUUUCAAGGAGAGCACAAGUGACUAAAGAUUUAGGAAUAACUUUGAUCAAGGGAAGCAACUGAUGGAGUGGAAUAGCUUGUUUUGUUGUGCAAGCAUUUGCCAUUCAUGUGAGUUUCGAGGAAGUGGCGGUGAUGGUUAAAGAACAUAAGGAAGUGAUUGAAUAGCUUGCAAUGAGGGUUUUUUAGAAAUUGAGUGGGGAAAGUGUCACUACCCUAAUUCUCCCAUACUGAUGUGAGUUGGAAGUGGGUUUAGUGGCAUUGGUUUGAAGUAUGAGAAAUGCAAGAGGUACAACUUGUUUGUGGGAGUAGCAUCAAAUUGUUUGUGCUAGGAAUCCAAAGAAGGGAUGACCAUUAUCUUGAAGGAUCUUUGUAGAUGGGUUGGCCUCUCAUUUGUAACUGGUCAUGAGCUAAUGCCGUGCUUCUAAUGAUGGCCAUGGGAAACUAAAAUCAAUUAUUAUACCAAAGUGUUCUGUAUCUCACUUGAGAGAUUGGAUGUACAAGUUAAAUUGGAUGUGGUACUAUCAAUUGUGAGCUUAGGAUUUGCCAAAUUGUCUAGGUUGACUUGGUGUUUUGGCUCAUCAGGUGCUAUAGGGGCUUGUGCUCAGCCAAGAAACUUUCAACCCGUGACACAAGUGUGAGAAAAUGACGACUAGCGAUGGAUUAGGAGUACUCCUUGGUAUUAUGUGAAUGGACCGGCAGCUCAAUCAAUUCCUAGAGGCAACACACUAGGGCAACAUAUUCAUGUGCAUACAGAUUUCAUAUUAAUUCGAGACCAACAUUUAACUUUUAUAGUCAAUCGUCAACGAAAUAUAUGAUAUUCUGCACGCCAAGUAGCUUUGACAGUCCCUUUAUAUUUUGUAAACGAGCAAAAACAAAUUGUAAGUUCUAAAAAUAUACAAGGAAAUUAUAUAGGGUUAAUAUUAUGAAAAGCCAUACCAAACUAAUUUUUUUAACAACUAAAAAGCCCAAAAUUGUACACUUAUGAAAAAUUACUGUCAAUUAGUUUCUGUUAAAUUUUAUCGUCGAAUUGCUAAGUUGAAUGAUACGUGGGAGUUGACAAGUUUACUAAUUUAUAGGUUUUACUCUUUGUUUAUCACAUGUAUAUUAGUUUGUGAUUUUUCAUGGUAUUGUAUCUAAAGGAGAGUGAAUUUGUUACAAAUAUACUAGUUCGAGGUUUUUGGUAGUCAAAAAAUUAAUGCUGGGUAAAUUACAGGUGUACCAAUUUGGGUAUUUCGUGAUAUUAAAAAAAGCAUACAUGGUAUAUUAUGAACAACCCUAUGAAACUAAUUUUGUAAUCAUUAAAAACCCCAAAUUGGUAUACAUGUGAUUAAUUUAAUGCUAGUUAGUUUUUGUUAAAUUUUAGCAUCGGAUUACUAAGUUGGAUAACACUUGAUAACUGACAGGUGUAUCAAUUUGGGGUUUUACCCUUUGUUUAUUAUUGUAUACUGAUUUGUGGUUUUUCUUCAUAUUAGUCCAAUUUAACAAAAACUAACGAAAAGUAAAUUUCUAAUUUCUCAACAAAUGUACAAGUUCGAUUUUUUCUUUGUGGUAAAAAAAUUAAUCUUUGGUAAAUUUAUUAUAGGUGUACCACUUUGGGAUUUUUCGUAGUAUUAACCCAAUUGAUACAAAAUGUUGAUUUUUGCACAUUUUGAAUGAUUUUAGAUGUUUCGCCUUAGAUUAAAGUCAAAUUGCGUGAGGAGUACUAGGAGUUGUUCAAUUAAGCAACGUGCAUAAAGCGGUAAUUUGCACAGUUCUAUACGCUGGCUGAUUUAUGUCGGUAUAACAAGUACUCUUCAGUUUUCAACUAAAUUUUUCAUACUUGUACAUAUAUAUUUAUUUAUUUAUUCCAUUACCGACCCACCCAAUUUUACUUGUGCUAUAUUGAAAUUAGGUGAAAUAUGGGGAAAGUGUAACUGAAACCAAAUGAUCCAUUCUCUUAUGCUGAAGGCACAUAGAGUGCGUUUUGGAGAAUUUUAGGUUUAUGACUUUUAGUAUACCAACAAAAUUCUUGGAUUCAAGGUGUUCCCCAAAAAAAAGAAAAACAAAUAGUGUUUGAAUAGUUGGCUCUUGGUACAUUCUAGUAAAUCAGUUUUUUUUUUCAAUGAUCUAAAAUUACAGGAAAAGGAAUAAAAAAAAGAAAAAGAAAAGAGGACAACAAUUAUUGCAACUUACGAAUGUUGUCCAAAGGCCAUGAGACCUGGGCAAGGCUCCUUGGGGUUCUGCAACCUCAGCCAAGGAGGCGCCAGGGUCGCUUGAACCAUGGUAAGAUAGAUCUCGUUUAGGUAAAGUUUGUCGGUGUCGAGCAACCCUUGGCAAAGCUUGCUAGUGUUGCUUUUGGUGGCAUCAUGCAACCCUUGUGCAAGGGGCUAAUAAAGGUCGCUAGACCUUGGUAAGGCACGUUGAGGUUGUGCGACUUUAGACAAGGCUGCUAUGUUGAUCAAAUCAAGGUGAGACAGAUCUUGCUUGGCGAAGCUUGUACGCAUUGUGUGUCCAUUGGCAAGCUAGAUCUGGGGCCCGACAAGCUAGACUAGAGACCAGGAGACCUCAGGACGGCUUGUUAGGGGUGGGCAAACCCAGGCAAGGCAGCAUUGAGGUCGCUUGACCCAAGGUGAGGCAGAUCUCGUCUAAGCGAAGCUUGUCGGCAUGAAGCAACCGUUGACGAAGCUAUGUCGGCAUCUCUCUACCUCCUCUAGAAAACUCCCAGUGAUGAUUGUCUUUGUCUCCAUCUAAGAAACACGAGUAAAAUAAGAAUAUCAAUAUAUUAGUGUGGGUAAAAUUGAAAGAAGAAAAGUCGAUUCAACCCAUAUAGUAGCAUUCCAAAAAUGAUAAAGUCCAAAGCUGGGGAAAGGUGGGCUUUUGCCGUGAGCCUUGAGCAUAUUCAAAGCUCGACUUUGUACGAUUGUGUCACCUAACACAAAAAUUUAGAUUCGAUGGCCUCAAGAGGUCCAAAGUCACUUGUAAAUGCUGCCCCAAAUGCGUCCACAAAAAUUGACUUUUUAUUUCUUGAGGCGUGAAUAAAGAAGAAGUGGAAUUUUAAGGCUCAUUGCCUUCUUUUGAAAUUUAGAAAUGUCGCCGACGGCCAAGGUCAAGUCGGCACAUCAUGAUUUGACAAAGCGUUUUCCACUCCCAUUUGUAGGGCAUUAGAAAUUUCUUCAGCUUACCUAGAUAUUGCCCACGUCGCGGAAGAUUUUGCUUUUCUCCAAGCCUUUUUUUUCCUUUCGUGAUACAUGCGGAUUUGAUUAUUCUAUACAGAUUGGGGGAUCACCGUCGAGGGUAGAGUUUUGUCUAUUUAGAUUACUUAAGAGGUCUCCUAAUUAUGAUGAUUAUUUGAUUGUGGUAGGACGAGGAAACUGCUGUGACAAAAUGAGAUUUGUUGGGUGCUCUAAAAGAACUCAACAAUUGACAUAAAGAAUUAAAAAAAAAAAAAGAAGAAAGAAAAGCGGAGAAAAUAUUCCUUUCAUUGACAGUGAUAGAAUUUGUUUUUCUCUUCUGAGCUCAUUUCGAGAGGUCUAUAGACUCUAGUAAUUAUCGAAUUUCAAUAUGACAAAAGAACUUAUCGUUCCCAAAAAAGAUUAGUCGCAAUCUCCAAAAAAAAAAAAAAAAAAAGCCAACAAUCAAGGUUAUAAAAAACAAAGUAGGGUAAUUUUCAUUCACCGACAUUAAAUCUGGUGCAGAUCCUGUAGUUGGAGCUUUCCAACCCAAGUUAUAGAACUUGAACCACAAAGUUUUGAAGCAUAGACCGAUCCACACGCUUCCUCCCUACAUCAGAAAUUCCUUUCCACGCGGGUCGCGAUGAUCAAGCAAUUCCUUUACGCACACAGUAGGCCACAUUAACCAAAUUGCAUUAUUGUGUAUUCAUCCCGAGAUUCUUUCUUCCCUCAUAACUCAAUCUAGCAUUGUCAUUGAAUCGAUUUUGUAAGAUUUGAUGGGACCACGUCCUAUGAUAUAAUUUAAUAUAUAUAUAUAUAUAUAUAUAUAUAUAUAUAUAUAUAUAUAUUCCAUCACUUCCCUUCAUGCUUAGUCUGAUGUUUUGCUUAAUACUAAGUGAGGAAAUAUUUUGUUGAGGAGACAAAUGAGGCCUUGAAAAGAUUCAAACUCGGGACCUCUUGCUUUGAUACUGUGUAAAAUUUUAUGAGAGCACUGUCAAGUAUUCUAAAAAAUUUAAGUUAUGGUGCGGUUUAGUAUUUAAAUAUUCGAUCAAAUUUUAUUAAUUCCAAGAAAUAGAACAAACUUUGAGUUAUAGAGACAAUAAAUUAUUGAAAUUUCUAAGACUUCCAAUUGCAUCAAGUGGAUAAUAACAUUUCAUAGGCUCAUUUUGAUUGACUAUAUCAAUUACACUUGGAGAUAUAAGACUUCAAGAUAUAGGUAGGAUGAUGUGGCCAAAGGCUUUGUAUUAAAAAUUGGACUUCAAAGUAAUAGAGCAAGAAAGGCGCUGAGAUAACAGUGCGAUAUUCGACUUCAAUACAGAACUGAAUUUGACCUCAUUAUAGAAGUCGGUAAAGGAGUGGCAAAAGACAUCAAGGAAACAUUGAUAGUUCAUGUUGCUUUGUCGGUCAAGUUGCCCAUAUUCUAACAACCCCAUUCGACAAGUGUGAGGAGUGACUGCUGGAAUAAGAGAGCUCGAAUAAAAAGCAUCUCCUGGCAAUCUUUUAGCAAGACUGAAUUGAAUUUCGUACCGAACAUGAGGAGAGCAUUCUUGAAACAUAUAUGUGAAAUUGAAAUUAACUUAGAAAAGACGCAUUUUAAUGUUAUGAAACUUUUAGCAUCAAACUCUACUGUUAAUAGUGCUGAGGUGUGAAUACUAUGAGGGGAAAGUACUACUGAGAUGGGUAACCUCCUAGAAAAGUGCCUACUGUUAGAUUAUCAAAUCAUGCAUUUAAAAAUAGUAUAAGCUUUUUAAAUAGUUAGUAAUGGUUCCACAAAAUCAGACAUAAUACCAGAGUAGAAAAUCCCAAGUUCAACGCUACAAUACUUCUAUUUGCGACGUUUAGGCCAAAAUACAAGCAUAUGAGUGAGUGUUAGAAUAUGUAAAUAUCAAAUCUCACAUUCAUCUAAUAGUUUAAGCUUUUAAAAUAAUUUCUAAUGGUUUUACAAAAUCUCACACCUACGUGCAAAACCAUGAGGCUUGAUAUGGGAUGGACUAGAGUGAACAAUAUCUUAAGUGAGUGAAUCUAAAGGUGCCACGCAAAUCGAUAAAACAGUACACUGAUUAAAAGGCAUAUUGAGCAAAUGCAACAUAAGCACAUGCUCAUAAGGUUGUCAGAGGCACCUAGCGGUCAACAACCUAUCAUAAUGGAGUGGUUACGACACUUGGCCCCACUUCCAACCAAUGGCAAUCAAACAAUUGACUAUAAAAUUAAAUAGAGAAGAACUCGGGUAAAUUCUCGAAGCCUCGCAUAAUCUCACCAACUCAAAAUAAAAUUAUCUCUUUUAUUAUGGUGGAUUGACUUAAGUAUCAGAAGGCCUUUAGGUCACUGACAAUUCUUUAAAGGAUCAAGAAGCUCCAGAGGACCGAAAUUUAAUCUCUGAUUUCGUCAAAUGAAAAAUGCGGAAUUCACAUUGAAUUACCAAUUAAAGAUAGAGGCAACAUAUUAUAGUAUAGUAAUUAAAUUUAUAUAUUACCUCAACAAUGAAUUUAGCCUAAACAAUAGCUUCUACUACUCACUAUCAAGGCAGAUGAUGGUAAAAAUGUUCUUGGGUGGCAAUUCUCAAUUGUCGGCAUAAACCCAACUAGUGGAAAAGCCUCAAGGAAAGGCGGGGCGGAUGCGCUCUUUAGUCACAAAUCAGCUUGACUUUAAGGACAAUUGACCUUUGCCCCAGACGAGCUCUAGCAUCAUAGACCUAAUGAGGAGCUAGUCCUUGAUUUUUAUACGCAAGAGUUGGAUCUACAUCCCCCCUUUUUUAUUCUUUUUUAUUUUGGUAAAAUUCAAAUAUUGGACAUUUAGUUUCAAAUUCUUUCUUGAAAAAGUUGGUCAACGCCACUUCUAUCACAUCUUCUAUUCUUUCAUCAUUUUACUUAACCCCACCCAGCAAAAGCGAAGGAAGACGAGACUGAGGAAUGAGUGGUUCUUGAAUGUGCUCGACACUGAGAGAUUGAUAAAGUUUAAGAAUCGGAGAGCCUGGGAAAGCAUUCAAGUUGGGCUUCUCUUGCUCUGGCUACUUAUUAAAUUUUGUUUUUAUGCAGAUUUCAAGCUGCUUAGAUAAAUUUAGAGUGCGAAUGAUAACUAUUCUAGUCAGAAAUUGAUUUCUGGAAGAGAAAUAGAUUUUUUUUAGAUGAAUUUCUAAGCAAAAAUAUCCGUUUAAUAACGACACAAAAUUUCUACUCUAAAAUAAAAAUUCGUUUGAUAACGACACAAAAUUUCUUCCUUUCAGACGGCAGCAACCUGCGGCCGACAACGGCGGUGGCAGCCGGCCGACGGUGACCGGCAGACGGCGGCAGACCAACAGACAGCGGCAACAACCGGUGGACAUUGGAUGACAGUCGGGGACCGGCAAACGGUGGUCACUAGCAAUGGAUGGACAACCGGUUCAUAGCAAUGACAAACGAUAAGAAGAACUUUUAUUUCUUAUUUAUAUUCCAGAAAUAGAAAAGUAUAAAAUUUUUACUUCUGAUUUCUAUUCCAAACUUAUUUCUGGAACAAAAAUCUAUUUUAAAAAUAGAAAAAUGGAAUAAUUUUAUCAAACGGAUUUCUACUCCAGAAACAAGUUUGGAAUAAAAAAAUUACUUAUGGAACAGAAAUUGUAGUUUGUCAUGCAUCCCCUUAGUGACUGGGCCGCUUUAAUGUGGCUUGAAGUCCAACAAAUGUGAAGGUGGUUUCCAGGAAGAAUGACUUGAGAAAAUAUUUUGGAGUUAGACGAUGAAUUCGACUUUAAGUACUUGCCACCUUUUUUUUUUCCUUUCCUUCCUCAUUUGGGUGCAGUUGGUUAGGUGGUGCGUGUGUCGGCUUUCGUGCACCUCAAUUGGUCUAGGUCCCAUAAAUUUUGAUCUGUCGAAUGGUUGAGUUUCGCAUGCUGCACGCACAGUCGACAUUUCAUAAGCUACAUAUUCGUAUUCAAAGCAUAGUGGCAGAGAUGUCAUGCUCAGAUUUGAGACGACCUUACCCAGAUCUUACUUAUGAUGUUUUCAUGUAUUAUGCCGACGCUUACUCUUGUUUUGAUGGUGUAAGGAGUAGCAUUUCUAACAUUAAGAUGUUCAUGCUUGAUAUGAGUCUCUCUCAUCAUCAUAUUCAUGUACCACACACAUUCUAUCCCAUGUUACACAAUUUAGUCGGGCGAGAUUUGGAGCAUCCUUAUAGGAAUUGUGAGACAGAGAAAAGUUCAAUGAGAAAUUGUGUUCUAUUUUAUGGUUAGGUCAUGCAUUAUUAUAUGUAAUGAACAUUAUUUCAAAUUUCUACAGCAAACUAAACUAGAGGGAGAUUCAUGUAAUGUUAGACUUAGCUGAAGAUUGUGCUCUUAAGAAAAUGAACAGUAAAUGAGGAAAUGGAAGGAGAUGAACAUUAACCACAAAAAAAAAAAGAGAGAAAAAAAAAGUUAAGAAGAUUAGCACAAUACAUGAAAUGGCCUGUUUUGCUUGAGAUCUUUCAAGUCAAAUACUAGAUGUGUCACAUAAAAUGGUCAGCGACGGCUAGAUUCUUGCUAUAUAGGUAUUUUUAUAUAAAAAUUGAUUAGAAUAAUCAUAUUGAAAUUUCACGAAAAUCUUCACAAUUACAUCCGUAGGUUUAGUAAUUUUUUCCCCUGUAAUGGUGGGCCGUAAGUAUAACACCGCCUUCCUACAAUGAUGUCGUGUCAAAUAGGGGCAACCUGAAAAUCUUGAUUGCCCCAGCGAUGUAGAUGCGAUCAUUUUUUAGCAACUUGGAAAUGUUUUGACGAGGAAGCUUCGUAAAGACAAGUUUAUUGAAACCGGCUUUCAAUAGUUGUAGAAAGUAACAAUACGAUUCGGUCCCCAUUCCAGAAAUAGCUCGGCCGCAUGAAGGUUUUAGCACUAACUUUUCUCCAUCUACGGACGGUAUACACCGAGAAGGAGAGGAGGGGUGAUUGAAGGGGCCAAGAUAGAUAGGAAAGCGAUCUCGCUGAUCCCCAACAUUUGGUCCAUCACCGCAAUUUAAUGUGAACAACUUUGGAGGAGAUAUAUGUGAAAAGAAAAGUAGAUGUCAAGAAGCCAAAUGUGAUAGGGAAGCUACGUCAAGAUUAACAUUGAGGCCCUGUUCGUACAAAUUGGGCCUAGUAUGGUGGAAAUAGGUCAAUUUGGGCUGGAUUUUUUGUUUUUUUUUUCCCGACCCGGCCCGACCCGACCCAACCCACCCAUUUUAAUAGGCUCAUUGCUUUGUAUAGUUUGGUAUCCGUUUCAAAUACCUAUAGAAUACAGUGAUUAACUCUUAUUGCAAGUCGCCUGAUGGAUGGCAUUGAUGAAGUUAUAGCACCAGAAAUAGAAAGCAACCCCAGAAAGAGAGAGAGAGAGAAAUCUCUCUUGAGCAAAUGAAUACAAAUCCCUCGGGAUAUCAGGGCACUAGCCAUGACAACUGUGAAGAUGGGCAAAUCCACCGAGUCUCAACGUCUCAGAAGGAAAAGAGAGAGCAGUGCGGUAAAUUUGGUAAAAAUUAAUUAGGCGUGGAAGGAUCAUCAUCAUCGAACACAUGAUUAAGCAUUCAGAAAGCGGCGAGCUUAUCUCUGCGUGUACAACCGAUGCGCGUGCUCUCGUGUGUGAAUUUUCGACAAUAUCACAAAUUAACACACCAAUUUGAGCUUCUUUUAAGGAUCAAAAACAGAGAAAGUUUUCUUAGUAAAAAGCUUAACUCAAUCGGGUCUGACAAUUCUGGGAUCUUACAUUGGCACACUAUCGGACGGGAGAAUCUUAGCACCAGCGACGAGCUGGGGGGAUGGGGUGGUCAAAUUGAAACGCGGUGUUUCAGUUCGGCGUCCAUCUGGAAAAACGAAGUACCAUUUCAGGGGUUACUUCGAGAAAAGCCGUCAAAUUGCGGGGGCUCUUUUAAAAAUCUCUCACUCUCACACUCUCCAGUCUCCAGUGGUUCGGGGUCCCUCGCGGCCGAGCCUCAGCCACGAACCGAGCGGAAGCAACGUGAGCCACAAAAUCUUCCACGCACAAAAACUUCACCGGAAACCGAAGGAGGCCGGAAGCGAGGAAGGAUCGGCGGCGACAAUGGCUUCCCUGAACUUCGCCGCAGCCGCCGCCGUGCACCUCCGGCGACGGGACGUGGCCUCCAACUUCGGAAUCCGCCAGAAAACCUCGAAGCUCGUCCGCGGGAAGCGACUCGCUCUGUCGCUGAACGCGGCGGGUUCGACGGAACCUUCGUCGGCCGCGCCAGAAAAGCCGGAGAUCGAGCUCGAGUUCAUCGGGGUAAUCACUCCGCGCCCCGGCUGAUUAUCGUCAUGCGUUUCCGCCGGAUUCUGUGGUUUCGUAAAUGUAACUUGCUGCGAGUACUCGCCAUGUUAGCCAGACAAAAUCCUGAUCUCCUGCGUGAAGAAUUUUGCAUUGCUGAUGAUGAAACGCGGUUUCGAUGGCAGCCGAAGCCGGGGGCUGACGGUUCGUAUCCGGGGGAUAAGGCUAAGGCCGUAAGCGGAGAGAAGCUACUGAGGAACAUCAUGAACGAGAACAAGAUCGAGCUCUAUGCCACGUAUGUAAGUUCGUUCUUAGAGCAAAUUUCUCGCCGAUUGAUGAGCUUUGUAUAUAAAUUAAGAUUCGGCAUCACUUAUCAUCAAUGUGAUAGUAUGAUUGGUUUCUCAAUGCAUUGUGAAUUUGCCUACUUUUUCUGGUUAAACGUGGUGGUGAGUUUUGGGAUGCAUUAGAAGUGUUUGAUGAUAUUCUCUUCUCUGCAGGGGAAAGCGAUGAAUUGCGGAGGUGGUGGAAGCUGUGGAACUUGCAUUGUGGAGGUAUGUAUGUAUGGCUCACGAGUUUGCUGUGCAGCUCUCGUAUUUUAGACAGGGAAUUAGGAUGCCAUAAUUUAUCGUCAUUGGAGGGAUAGUGAAGCUCGUGUGAGGAAGUGCACAGAUGUUUCCAGUUUCUCGACAUGGGAAAAAAAUAUCCAUUGUAGUUUUUGAGCUGAGAAUUCUUAAUCGUAUGCUUCAAAUAAUCCCAUGUCCAGAGCAACUUAACGAGAUAAAACUAUGAAGGACUGAGGGUUCGCGAGGUCUGAGUAAUAUAGAUGUGCAUUCUUAGAGCAAGAACUUUCAGGGGAAGAUGUUAAGAGUGCUUUCUUCAUGUGCAUGAUUCUCUUCCUAUUGCUGAGGCUUGCAGUCACGUGUAGAGCUUAGAGACUGACAUCAGCUCCCUAGGGAGCCUACAAUUUGAGGAUUGUGUCUAUUAUCGGAUGAUCGAACUUGUCCUGUUGGGCAGAUUAUUGAUGGGAAGGAUCUUCUAAAUGAGAGAACCAAUACUGAACUGCGAUAUUUGAAGAAAGUAAGCUCUCUUUCUCUGUUCUGUUAUUGGUCGACCGGAUGCGGGUUAUAACCUUGAUAAUCAAGUUGUUCUAACAAUAGCUUUAACUGCCAGAAACCUGAAUCCUGGAGGCUUGCUUGUCAAACUAUUGUGGGGAAUAAAGAAAACUCUGGAAAGGUAAAGCUCCAUGGAUCUUUACUGUCCUUUAGUUGCUAGAAAGCAUUUUUGCAAUUUAAUAGAAAUCUGGAAGAAAGUAAGCUGUGCUUCUCACGAAUUAGGGUCCCUUUAUUUGAAGGAAAACUGUUUCCAAGAAAUUGUUUUCCAAUUUUCCGGUGUUUGGAUGAUGAAAAACUAAUCGAUGUAUAGAAUACAUUAUCUAUAGACUAAAAACAAGAAGCUUAGAUUGGGAGAAAACGCCUUCGUCUUUUAGUAAGAAAGAAGUCACUUUUCCUAAACCACCAAGUAAAUGAAAACUAAUUAUUUUUGUUCAAAAUGAUUUUCCUUUAUAAUGAAGUUUUAAAUGCAACAAACGCAAUCUGAGAAUUUCUUUGUUUCUUGGGGACAUACAGGUCUAACAAACAUCUCUGCUCGUGCGUUUCAAUUGCAGGUUGCGGUACAAAGAUUGCCCCAGUGGAAGAAGUGAUGGAGAACCAGACAUCGUAAAGGAGAUGGGUCGUGACAGGCGGUAGACACUCCGUUGCACUUGUAUUCCCAUUAUUUUUCAUGUCGAUAGUGACCUUGAUUGUGCACGUGUAGUUUUGUUACUGGUGCGAACUUUUAGUUUUCAAUGGAGAUAGAUGCAUGAAUAGAGAAGCAUGUAGAUGAUCGUUCCGAUGAAUCCUGAAUGGUUGAUGGGGCAUCAAAGGAAACUCCAAUUGGCUAUUAUAUCGGAUACCCUGUUCAGAAGCCUCAACUCUGAUAUCAAACUUGCCCGUCUACAAAAAAGUGUUUUCCCUGAGAUGCAAAUCUUGCUCUUGGGACUUCUCUUGUUCACUUGAGUAUUGGACUCCCGGUCAUAAGUACACGCGUAUUAUAGCAAUUCCAAUACUGGCUAUCUCUCAUGAUCCAUCUGUUUUUUUUUUCCCUCCUCUAUUUUGAUAUUACCUAUUUAAAUUCUGAGCUUUCUUCUUCUUCUAUUUUUUUUUUCAGUCAAAAAAUUCCGAGCUAUCAUCUUCAAUACAAAUUUGCAGGUUAGAUCAGUCAAAAAAUUACAAGAUCGUGGCUUCUCUUCCUAAAAUGCCCUUGUCUCGGUUCUAAACUUUUCCCGACCGGAAACACAAACCUCCCUACUAACUUAGCCACUCUUUAAUGCCUUGACCAUUUGCCCAAAACGUCGAGUCAGCUGACGUCUCGGCCUCCUCAUUGCUCACUACCACAGGCAUUCGCUGAUGUCAAUUCCGAGCCAGCCUUCAUCUGUUUCUUUCCUUGUUAUUUGCAACAUCAUUGCUCCACCAUGCUUGACGGCUCAAAUCCCUGACGCCAUAGAUCAACGGUCAAGCCUGGAUCUGGAGGCUCGCCGCCUCCUUUGGAGAACGCGGAGAAAGGGAGCUGCAAGACGAAAGACCUGGAUAAUCAACUAGAGCUCUGGGGUUGAUGCGGUGGCCGGAAGUGGCGGGAGGGCGUCCAAAGAUGGUGGAAAAUAGCAAUAUAGUCUUUUUGUCCAUAAGGUUUUAUCUGAGGAUGUAAAUGGGUACGUUGAAAAAUAGAUGAAAGAAAGUGAUAAUGGAGUAAGAAGUGAGGAAGAUAUUGGUAUGUUUCCUCCUCCUCCUUGUUUUUCUUUUGUUUUUGGGCCAGACUGUAUUUUAGUGUUUGGUUAUAUUAUUUAUUCUUGUGAACUAUAUUUGAUGAAUAAAGACGUUUUCUGGGAUGGUUCAAGAAAAAUUAGCUCCUCUUGAUUUCUCGAUAUAGGUCCAAUAAUUUCAGCCAUAUUUUUUAGUUAUAUAAUACACUCGACAAAUUUGAAAAGAAAACUCUUUUAGAAUAUAUUUUCUCUCAAAAAGUAUGAAGUGUUUCAUAUUUGAAAAUUGGAAUUUUGAUGUCUACUAUCAUUUCUUCGUACUUCAAUGUGUUUGAUAUAGCUUUUCCAAGAGGCUUUCAACCUCCAAAACCUUUUAGGAAAAUGCCGCGGUGUUUAGCAAGCCUUUCAAAAUAACUUUCAGCCAAAUGUUGACAUUGGGAAUGCUAAAAUUCCAAGGCAAGUAGGGAUUAGCCUUUUGAAAUAGCAUUGGUGAAAUGCUGAAACUAGAUUUAAACAUCUUUUUUCCAAAUCUAACCUCGCCAAUUCUUUAGUUUUCUGGUUUUGCCCCCCAUUGCUACUACUCAUCUUCUUUGCGAGGACAGUUGGCAAGGGCCAAUAAGGUCAAAUCUAACUGGUGAGGGGCCAGUGAGGUUGCGUGACCCAUGUGAUGGCUACUUGGGAUUGUGCGACCUAGGCAAGGGAUGAUUGGGUUGAGAGACCCUAGGCAAUGGUUGUCUAGGUCACACAAACUCAAGGCUUGUUGCCUGGGGGUUGUGAGACCCUAGGCAAUGGUCACCUUGGUCACAUGACCUCAAGCCUCGUCAUCCGAGGUCGCACUACCCUAGGCAACCCUCCUCGAGGUCAUGUGACCCAACCUAUGGCCGCCUGAGUUUGCAUGACUCCAAGUGGCCCUCGUUGAGGGCGCAUGACCCAAGUGAUGGCUGCCUAAUGCCUGAGCUUGCGUGACCCUAGGCAGCCCUCACUUGGGUCAUGGGACCCUCGCCUGACCUCGAUCGUCAGCCUUUGUUGGUGCUAGAUCUAACUUGCCGAUGGCCUAAACCUUCCUUAGAGUUGGUAAAGGGUUAGAUUUCUUUAAGAAGAAAAAUUGUAGCUAGAGUGCUUUGCAUUUUUUUUUUUAAUCAAACACUACUUCGCUCAAAGUUGCAAUGCAAAUGAGUUUUUAUCAAAAGUAAUUUGCAUUUCCCCACAGGAUUUUGUCUUUUAGCAUCUGCGUUACACCCAAAACCCAUUUUUAAGGUUGAACCUCACCCAUUUGCACCUCAUGGGCUAUGGUGUUGGGCUACUUAGUUGUUCACCUCGUAGAAUGUUGCAACUGAUAAUAAGAGAUUUAUCUUACAAUCUCAUUGCCUACAUUGGACACAAGAACAAAUAAAUUAGAUGAAUUCUUCAACCACCAGUGUUUACUAAAAAUUUGUAAGAGUUCCCUUUAAUUUUUAAGAUAAAUUAUAAUAAGUGGUGAUCAUGUUUACAUUAUUUACUAGGAUAAAUUAUGUUUGUGGCUUUUAAUUCCUAACAAGUCUAGGUUUGCCUUCUUCUCAUUGAUUUUCUUUUUUCAUAUUUUGUAUUAAGCACGUUCAUAAUCACAAGGCCAGCUGUAAAGCUGGUUUUGGUCUAUGAUGACAUACAAAAAGUAAAACCAUGCGACAACAAAUUUGAUGGAAAUUUCGAUAGAGAUAUCGGUGACUUUUCUUCUAAUAAAUUGUUCUAGUUAGAGGCCUUUGGCAACUAAUGAUCCAUCAGUUUUACCUAGAAAAUUGUUGAUUGGAAAAUUAGAACCGCCAUACCGUGUGGUGAAAAGUUGAGAAAACAUAGAUGAGGUAUUCUUACUUCUUCGAUGUCUUGCGAGAUAGAUCCUUUAUACUUGCAAAUGAAAACGUUAAUGUGGGGAGGCUGAAGAGAGAGAUGAGACUCCUGUUGUGCAUUUAACCAUCUCCUCUAUUGUAAAUCUCAAAUCCACUUCAUAGGAUUUUCAGCACUCAUUUAGACCUGUGAUCUUGAGGAGCUAUUAAGAUAAUGUGGUCCAUAACUUUUGGGAUGGUAUUGCCUUUUAAAGGGAUGGGGAACUAGUUUUGGUGGCACGAGAGACUCUUCUCUUCAUUGAAAUUCUGGAAUGACAGGAUGCCUAUGGUUUGCCUUGCUUGUGUCUUCAACAGUCUCAAACUAUAACUGCUUGCUCCGAUUCAUCUUUUAGUUCCAGUCAUCUAACGAUAAACUUAAUCUUCAAGAUGAUGAGUGCAGAGAGGAGCCAUUUAAUUUGAUGACGGGUAUUUCCCUCUAGGAGGAAUGCAAAUAUGAGCAAAGAAAAUGCAGCCCGGACAUAACUGAAGAAUCCACUACUUGAAUUAUCCGAGAAAGAGCUAAAGCAUUAGACAUGUCGAUAGGGAUACUCCCAUCCCUAAGGCUCUCUUUUAAACAGGAACAAAAGCGUACUGUUCGUGCAAAUGCCAAGAAAUCAAUACUAGACGAGAACAAAAGCAAUUUACUAUUUUUACGGUUACCAUAAAACAUGAUUGGUUUAAGGUGAGAUAGAAGGUUUCUUAAUUAGUCUAAUAUGGGACUAGCUAGUGUGGGCCGAGUUGAGCAUGGCCCGUAAUGAGGGGGCCUAGCUGGAAACUCUAUAAAUAGUGCUCAAGUCUCUCCUCUAACCCUAAUUCUCACAUGUAUCCUCACUUAAGGAACGUUUACCUAACGCUAAACAUGAGGGGGCCACCUCAUUGAGCCGGUGAUACGGAGGGCAAUAAAGGAGAAUGACUUGAUGCGUGGAUCCCCUUGAUAUGUGGGUAAUCAUUUUUCUGCUUUCGCUUUAUGUUCGAUGGAUCCCAAAACAUGUGCAUUAAUAUUUCUACUCAAUUAUACAUGUUCUUGUUCUAGUUAUGGAGAUCUUGGGAUGGUGCAAUUUGCGUCCAACAUGUGGUAUCAGAGCCUCCAUAACUCUAGAACACAAACGCAAAGGAUUUUGCCAUAAUUUGAGAUUUUUGAGAUUUUCCGUUCAAUAAAAAUUAAUUAAAUUAUAUAUUCGGACUAGUCUCGACGAGACGAAGAGAAUCGUAGGCUGCAGGAGGCCGCACGCGCCCCCAUGCGCUGCCAAGUGCCUCCUGGGCGUCGAACACGCGCCGCGCGUGAGAUCCACGUGUCGAGCACUCAGGCGGCGCGUGUAGGCGCGUGGAGCAUCCGUUCGACGCAUGGUUUGUGGCGUUGGAUUCGUAUUGCCAUGUUCCAUCUUGUGGUGUAUUUAUUUUACAUGUUUGAUGAUUUUAUGGAUGUGAAAAUACAUACAAAACCCUAAAUACGUGUAUUUUUAGUGUAUUUUUGCGUAUUUUUCUUGUAUUUUCUGUGUUUUUUCAAAUACAUGUGUUGGGUUACUGGUAUAUUAUCACAUAAGCAUUAUAAUUGUGUGAUUCAUUAAUAAAAAUUAAAUUUUAUUGUGAACUGAAGCUAGCUUAAUGAGAUACAAUCAUUAUAGAAUAGUAAUCGAGCUAUAUAUUGAUUAUAAUUUAUUUUUUUUGUUUAAGCAUACUCCUUUACACACUGGUAAUCUUUGAAUGAUGGACGUCUUAAAAACUCGUGACUAAACUGAUUGUACUGAUUAACACAUAUGCUGAAUGUGGGUAAUGCAUGUCAAUUAAGUUACUGCAUAUUAUACAUGAACUCAUCCGGUCACUUGUUAAUGUCUAUCAAGUUGAAUAUUUUUUAUGGUUAAGGAGUAUGACAACAUUUACGCAUAGCAAUAGUAUCUACUGUUAAAUUUUAGAUAUUUGGUUAUUUGGUUUGACUCAAUUAAUAGGCAACUAGUUGAUUACAAUAAUAAUUUGUUACUUAAAAAUUGACUAAUAAAUGAGUUGUUGGCCUUGGAGUUAUUUUUUGCCUUAUGAACUCAUGAGUGAUAAUGGAUCAGUUGUCAAGCUUGUCGAUUUGGUAUACCUUGUAUUACUAUUAAUGUUAAUUUGUGAAAGAUAUUCUAGAUCAGCAUUCUUAUAUAUAUAUAUAUGAACAAAGCAAUGUAAUUAGCAUAAUAUGUGAUUUUGGUGAUAUACUGUCCCUAUCAUUAAAGUUAAAAUCACAUAUAUAGUGUAUGUGAGGAGUAAAGUUUAUAUCCCUAGUAUGAGAGAGUUUCAAGGAUUCAAUUGAGUAGUGAUCGCCAAAAUGGCAUCCUUGAUUGGGUUUGAGAAAUUUCGGUCUCGUAUGAUGAUUGAGAUGUCUCCUGGUCUAAUGCGUAGUCAUACUCCCAAAGGAGGUGAUUGUGUAUUAGUUCAUGGAGAGAUACAUGAUAGUAUGAUGGAGGAGUGACUGAUUCUAGUGAUUCAUAUGCCUAAAGGUGAUGAAUUCACGAAGAAUUGGAAUAUAUUCUCAUAAUCGCUAUCAUGUGGAGAGUGUAAAACUGCAUGCCAUGUAUUAUGCUCAAAGGUGAUUAUAUGAUUGUGCAUGUAACUCUCUGGAUGUGUACUUGUACGUCAAGUUACACGGUGCUCACAUGAUACUAAUUAUAUACAUUACUUGUUUUUUCAGUCACAUUUUAUGUAAUUAAUAAAUCAACUAUUAUUGAGGUCUUUACUGUUUCAAAUUUUAAGUUGUGAACAUAUAAUUUGUUGUUUGAGAAAAGAGCAAUUGAAUUUGCUUACUUUCCAUGAAGCGUUUCAUUAUGGAAUACUUGAAAAGAGAUUUGUCUGCGGACUACACUGCUAUAAGAUGAUAGAAGCCUUAGUUUCUUGAAAUUAUGUCUUGUCUGAUAUUGAAAUUAGGACACAUCUGCAAAAAUUGUAUUUAAGUCCUAAUGACAUAUACAUCUCGUAUAUAGUUAAAAGGUUGUUUCCGAAAGUUUUCUAUUUAAGGAAAAUGACUGAGAUAAAGAAUAAAACAAUUACAAUUAGUCUUAAAAGGUUGUCAGGCUUAACAGUGGCCGUGAGUAUUUUGACAAGUAUGACAAUGCAAAAUAACUUAAAGGGUCAUUUGUCAAAUACUUGGUAGAUUCUGGGGGGUAACUUAAUUACUAUGCUUGAAAAUCCUGACAAAAAGAUUUGGCUGAAAGGCAUAAAUGUACCAUAUUGAAUAUGGUGAUGAGCAUAAUUAGUGAGACUAAUUCAUCCGGUCUUUUGUAGGCUGAUAUUUUGAAAGUAACAUUUUCACAUAUAAAAGUUGUUUCAUAAAUUUCUUUUGAGUUAUAGAUUGAACAUAAAUUACUUGAAUCAUAUUAAAUUUAGAGGUGUCAUGCAGAAGUGAGGUUAUCUAAUUCAAUAUUAAGUGUGUUGGAAUUUAGAUCCACUUGGAAUUAUUUUGUAUCUUACUCAGAUUGUUCAUUUUGUAUCUUACUCAGAUUGUUCAAAAGGGUAUCAAUUUUAUGACCUAAAGAAGGUACAAGUAUUAUGGAAUCACAUGCUAUAGAUGAUAACUACUCUCAGACUAUUAAGGAUAAUAAUACGAUGGAAAAUCACUAUGUCUUUAUCUUUGCCUAUACAGAUAAUUGUGGUACAUAUAAUUAUUGAAUCUCAUAUACCAUAAACUAAACUUGUUGAGGUUUAAGGUACCAUUCUUGAUAUAGUUUAUGAUGGAAUUUAUUCAAACCUCUCAAGUAUAGAAUGAAGUGGUAGUAACUUUACUCGGGAGAUUUGUUAGGGAAAGACAAUCAGUUAUUCCAUUAAACUAUAUAGUCUAUUUGUGAGAGCAUGAUUACAAUAUCCACUAUAUGAUUGAUGUAAUGGCAUAUUUAUAAAUGCCGUCUCUUAUUCUCAAUCAAGUAUGUGAUUAGAUGCCUUAAAAGGCGAUAUAUAAACUAUGAAAUAUCAUAGUGUUUGGAAACUUACUGAAUUGUCUAAAGAUCACAAGUUCAUUAGUUGCAAAUUGGCGUACAAAACUAAAAAGAUUUCAAAUAAAAAUUGUGGAGUUUAAAACUAAACUUGUAGCUAAAUUUUUCACGCUGAAAGAGGGAUGGAUAAUUUAUAAUGAAGAAAUAAUUAUUUUUUUCUAGUAUUUUUAAAGAUUCUUUCAGAGUGAACGUGACAUUAAUAAUUUAUUUUGAUAUUAAGUUAUGCCAAAUAAAUAGAUACAAAAUCUAUAAGUGCAACUGGAGUAUUUUUUAGCAGAUUCAAGUAAACUUGUGAGUGGACUGAAAAGUCUUAUUCAUAAUUUUAAGAAAGUUUCCAGACAAUAUUAUUAAAGUUUCAUAGUGUUAUUAUUUUGUUCAAUUGGGAAUAAAGUAAUUCAAUAUAUAUAUAUACUGCAAGGUUAGUGGGAGGAAAUUUAUUUUUCUCAUAUACUAUGUACAUGAUAUUUUGUUUACAAGUAGUGACCUUGAGGCAUCUUUUGUCUUUUGUACUUAGGUCCGUAAGGAUUGUUCUCGCCAUAUAAAUAUUGGAUUUUAUUAGAUCUAUUUCAAAGGACAUUUGCUUAUUGUAUUUUGGAAAUAUUAAAUAUACAUCAUUGCAAGCCAGGAAUUGUUUUUGUUGUUAAGGGUGAUGGACUGAAUCCAUUACAUUGUCCUUAUUUAGAUAUUGAAAAAAUCUAAUUAAAUGGUGUACAUUGUGUCAGUGCACUUAAAAGUAUAAUGUAUACUUGAAUUUGCACUAGACUAAAUAUCGUCUUUGUAACGGGACUUCUAGGAAGAUAUUAGUCAAAUCCAAGCACUGGGUUGUUGCUAAGAAGGUUUUAAGGUACUUAAAUAAGACAAGAGAUUAGAUGCUAGUUUACAGACAUGUUCAAUUCUUGCAACUAGUAGGGUAUUCGGUUGUAAACUUUGCUAGCUGUUAGGAUGACAUGAAAUCAAUAACGAAAUACAUAUUUAUGUUUGCAGGAAGUGCAGUAAAUAAAGUUUUAUGUUAUCUUCUACUAUGUAAGCAGUGUUAGUAACAUUCUUUUAGGCUGUUACUUGGGCUAUUAGGCUCCAGAACCUCAUGACAGAGUUGAUCGUUUUAACUUUAUGGAUAGACCCAUACGGUUGUAUUGAGACAAUAAAUUUGUAGUAUUAUUUAUUUACUACAAAUAUCUCAAGGAGUCUAAAUAAAUGGCAUUCAAGAUUCUUACCAUAAAGAAAUAGUACAGAAAUGUGACGUAAUAAUAUAACAUAUUUUCACAGAUGAUAUGGUUGCAGAUCAAUUAAUUAAAGGCCUAUGCCCAUGUGUAUUUGAGUGACAUGUCAUUAGCAUGGGCCUAGGAGCAUCAUGAGAUGCUGUUGUUUAGUGGGAGCUAUUUUGGCUUUACUCUGAUAAAUGUUUCAUCUGUGUUCGUUACAUUUAGUAACUGUUUAUAUAUAUCAACAAGAUAUUUUUUAAUAUGUUGUUAUUAUGUUGAAUACAUAUUGAUAAAGUCUCAAAGUACUGUAUAAACCUUGAGUGAAGGUUAGAGGCAUCAAGUUAUUAGCAUUGUCCACAUGUCUUGUUAUACAUAAAUAAAUGUUAACCGUAAGGACAAGACAUAUGUGGGUUCAUGGAACCAUAAAGUAUUCUUUAGUGGCACGAGUUUUUGUGUCGCCUAAGGUAAGAGAAUGGUGACUGACAAAUGGGAUCUCUAUAUGAGAGAUGUUAUCCAUUUGCCACACUACCAUAUUGAAUUAAUAUCAAUAAAGUUGAGAGCACUUGUGACCAUGGAAGGCUCUAUGUAUAUACAUGCAAUUACCGCCAUGAUUCGGUGUUUAAGACUUUAUGGGAUAUGAUUGACUAUUAAGAAUUAUCUCUGGACCAAAUGUGUGCACAUACAGUACGAUUUCAAUUAAUAUAGUCCAAGUGGGAGAAUGUAAGAGUUUUCCUAAUGUGAACUAAAUUAAUUGAUAUUGUAAUUUACUAUUUUUACAGUUACCGUAAAACAAGGUUGGUCUAAGGUGAGAUAAAAUGUUUCUUAAUUAGUCUAAUAUGGGACUUGCUAGUGUGGGAUUCGCUAACAUCUUUUGUGAGACUUCAUACUUGAACCGUGUCGAUACUACCAAAGCUCAGGUUAGUGCAAGGCAUUCUUCUUAAGUGACUCUGUUCUUCAUAUAGGGAGUCCGUAUUUGUCAUGAGGUCUUGGCUGGUUAUCUGUUUAUAUUCCCAGCAAUUUAGAGAAGUGGAGCAUUUUACAAGAUGGACCUGAGGAUGCUUUGUCUGUUCUUCAAAAGCUGUCUGUUUUGAGUUGAUUCAAUGGCUCAUUUUAUGUCCAGCAUAUACACUUUCAGCUAGCUAUAUCUUCAAAGUCUGUUGACUGUGGUUGCUGAUUGGCAGACCAGCAAGCAAGGUAGAAAGCUGUCUUUGAAGGACACAAAUGUGCAUCAAAGAGGAGCUGUCCUAAUAAUUCAGUAGGAUGCCACAGCGGAAUAUGUAGAAGAGCUGUCAAAAAUAAAAGCGGCAGAGUCUAUACAAAUUGCCAUCCCAGACAAAUGGGCAAAAUGAGAAAAUUCAGGGUAUAGUAUCUGUUUGAGGGAUGCGGUAGCAGAGUAUUCAAGAAUACCACCAGAUAAUUCUCUAAGAACUUAGGAAGAAGGUUGAUUCUUGUUUGGGGUAACCUAUGAGAAUUAUUUGUUCGAUGAUAAGAUGUUUCCUCAUUCUAACAAUGAAGUACAACUUUUCUAGCCUAAUUCAAUUUGCUGGAUAUGCAGAAUAUAUAUAUAGUCGGCAGCUUUCAAUAAAAAUCCUUGACUUAUAUAAUUGGUAUUUCUCUUAUAGAGUUUAGACAGGUUCCGAUAAUGCUUCCUUAGGUUCCUUUUCUUAUACAAAUCUAUUUUUCAGCAGCAUGCCUAAUCCUACCUUAGUUCCAUAAUAGUCCAUGAUGAUGCCCACGGUUUUAAAACUAUAUCAACCGAAUAAUAGCAAAUUAAUCUUUCUUUAGUUUUUGUCUCCAUAACUUCAACCAGCUUGCAACAUUAUUAAGUGAUAUUGAUGAUAUGAUCUCCCAUGGUUUUGACAAACUAGAUUGACUUCGCUUUGCAAGAAAGAGUUGACGCUUUGAAAGAGAGAAGAGCAUCGUCGAAGAAGGUUUUAGAGAGAGAAAGAUGGAGAAGGAGAGAUAAGCGGCGAUUUGGUGAUGGCGGAAGCAAUAGACGAGGCAAAGGCGGAGGCGACGGCGUGGUUUGUCGGACAAGAGAGAGCAGAGCUCGGCCGUAAGUCGGGAGGAAGCGAAAGAGCAGAGCAUAGAGAGGGGAGAGAGAGUCUUUCAAGGGGACUUUCAAAUUUCUGACAUUGAGCCCGCGGAUGACAUGUGUACAAUAGUCACCUCGAACUUAUAUCUAAAUAUUUGUUAGCUUUGUAAAUUAGAUUCUUCCUACAUUGACAAAGAUUUGCGUUCACUUUUCUCAAUGGACCAACUCUACAGCCAUAUAUUCUCAACAUAUUAUUUUGACAAAUUUUAUUACAUUCAUUUUCACAAGCAAAGCGUUAGCUCUAGAGCUAGCAAUAAAUAAAGGUCAUACAAGUGAGUAAUGAGUCCUCCGGAAGUACAUUUUGAGGAUCCUUAAUGAAGAUAUGUUUAACCAAUGAUUACAUAUGAGGCACAAAAGGCAUUGCAUUUGAUAAAACUUACAAAGCUUCUUUGGAAUGACUACAUAUAAAGCAAAAAAGUCAUUGCAUCUGAUAAAACCUACAAAGCUUCUCUGGUUUCUUAAUAAGUGUCCUAUGACACUCAUCAAUAAAAUUCUAAGAAUUAAAUGAAGCAAAACAUUUUACAAAAAAAAAAGAAAAAAAGAAAAAAAAAAAAAAAGAGGAGUCUUCUAGAUUUGCAUCAACAUGAGUUACAUGUAAAUCUCUUUCAAAUAGUAGAUAAGGCUUAAAAUCAAUCGGUCAUAUGGUAACUUUGAGAGUAGAUGCCAUUAUGCGCUGUAUAUAUUUCAUAUCAACAUUAUACCAGCUUUAAUUUGUUGCGACUCAUUCAUUCCAAGUGUAGGUUCUUUGCACGUCUUCUAUAUCUCACAGGGACUUUCCAGCUCAAUAUUACAAGCUCUCUUUUGGUUGUGGUUUUACUAGAUUGUGAGACAUAAAACCUUAAAAGUCUCUUAAGGAGUCUUUUCCUCUAUGCUACUUAUGUGGCGUGUUCUAUUCUAUAUGCUUUAGAUUUUCUAGGGAAACACUGUCAUAUAAUUUGCAACAUAUAUAUUUGUUCACAUUGUUGUUUUCUGCUCCAAAUUUAGAUCUAUUGUGUGUAUAGCAGGGAAAGAAAUCUGUUAGUCUCAUAUAUCUCGUAGACUUCAAUAAUCUAUUGAUUCCUAUAGAUGUUAUUCGGAUUUUCUUUUGUCCUUCAGUCUGAACGACUAUUGCCAAUUCAUGCACUCUGGUGCGUCCUGAGCCUUUUUUUUUUCCUUUCUGAGGAUAUGUAAGAUUUCGUCCACCAUGAGCUCAGAGUUUGACUGGUCGAAACAGAAGGGAAACAUACAGAAAAAACUACUUAAAGAGUUUCAGAAGGACAAACCUUUGAGCGACAACGGAGAAACGUAAGUGGUAUAACAGAAAAAGGACCAAAACUCAAUAAACUGAGUUACAACGAAGGACAAGACUUUCACGACAAGCCUUUGACUACUGAACAGACAAGAUAAUUUUGUCAUUUCUCUCUGUCACUCCUAUCUAUUAAGAAGGAAAUGAACCCAAUGUCACCAGUUAACAAAUGAUGAUAACUAGCCUGCCUUUGGAAUCAGGUGUAACUUUCCUCGAGGUAAAUUUUAUCAACCGUAAAAGCCUGAUGAAUAUUUUUAGUUAAUUAAUGGAAGAACUUUGCCUUUAGAUGGUCUUCUUCGUUAUUAAUUUAGACUACCAUUCUCAGGUCCUUCUAAUUGAGGUUUGAUUCAGAAUCAUUUCCCUAGUAGGCUGAAUGAUGAAGUGUCUUUCUCAGUUUCACUCAUAGUGUUCAAAUUGGGUGCUACGGAAUUCUCGUUUACUGAAGUGAGCGCUAUUCGAGCAACCACCGGGAAGGUUGUCUGUUGCCACUUUUCAUCAGAUGGGAAACUGCUUGCUACUAGUGGACAUGAUAAGAAAGUAAGUGCGGGCAUAUGUAGACAUGAUGAUAUGUUGUUGUCUGCCAUAGUCUGAUUUGGGAUGGUUAAAUUUCUGGAUUAUGCAGGCUGUACUCUGGUAUGCAGAUACUUUAAAGCCAAAAGCAACUCUGGAAGAACAUUAUUCUUUGAUCACAGUUGUUUGAUUUAGUCCAGCCAUGCCUCGCCUGGCAACAUCUUCUUUUGACAAAACCGUCAGAUUCUGGGAUGCUGACUAUAUUGGAAAACAUAAUAUCUCAUUGACACUGGUGUUUUCUAGAUUUUUCAAUUACUUUUGUGUUUGAAGUGUGUGACUAUAAGUACUGAUAAAUUUCAAAACUUUUUUUGGCCACUUUGAUAUAAGAAGUUUGUUUUUUUCUGGAAAGAACAAUCUAAUGAAAGCUAUUUUUACACAUACCCUGGAAAGUUACGUAGAACAUGAUCUACACUUGUAGCUCUAAGCAAGCUGAUGUACUGGCAUGGGUUAAUUGACAGGACUCUGAAUUUCUAGUUACCGCAUGACGGUGAAGGGUGAAGAAGUAGGUAAUCUGUCCCUUAAGCUGACCACAGAAGAUUUUGGUCUUUCAGAGGAAUGGAGCAAGACUUUUAAUUAAAGCUGGUCACCUGUUAUUAUUCAGAUACUUAAAUAUUCCUGUCUUUGGCUUGUUGCCACUUGCUACAUCAAUGAGAAAUGAGUUUGUGGUCGAUUUUAGGCUCGUAGCUCUAAUAGGAGUUGCCAUUGUUUUAAAAUCUGAACAUUGAAAAUUUGGGAACAUAUAUUAUGUUGAGUCGAUAUUAUGAAUUUAUCGCUUAAAUGUCCAUGUGAAUGGUUAUGCAAUCCGACUUUUGUUUACAACCUAGAGAGUUGCUUCAAAAUGUCAAGUUCUCUGAAUGUCCACACUUGCUUACACGAGAUGAUUGUCUUCUUUUAUUACCCUUGAAGCCGGAAUUCCAGAGCCUGCUGGUAUUGAUAAAUUCUGCCAUGGGUACUCUCUUGUGAUAAUGAUCAAGUGAAGAUUUGGCUACUUCCUUCAUAGAUCAUUUUGAAAGCAUUCUCUUAGGAGCUCAAUGAAUUGUUGUUUUUCAAGUGCAGACUUCUAUGGCAUUUGUUGUGUGGCUUUUAUAUGAAAUGAUGUCUGUAACUAUUAGGAUUGUAUUUAUCCUUCUUGGCUUUUAUGCAUUCUUUCGGAAGCUCAAUGUCGAGGUUCCUUCAUUUUACCCUGAUGAUGAUCAUGUUUUAAGAGUUUCCUGUGUUGGUAGUUGUUGGUCAAUGUAGAGGGCAAAUUCGCAUGUGACCUUGCUAAGAUUUAUUUGACUGUCUCCGUUUUGUUCCCUUGUGGUAGUAUGCAUUUAGCUUCACUUUUGUUGGCUUUAUGUUUAAUGUCAGUGUGCAUAUGGUAUCAUCAAUGGAUCAUUUGUUCAUUUCAGCCUCGUUAUUCUCUUCGGACUUUUAUGGGGCAUUCUUUUAGUGUUAUUUCUCUGGAUUUCCACCCAAAUAAAGAUGAUCUUAUCUGCUCUUGCGAUGGCAAUGGUGAGAUAAGAUACUGGAGCAUUAAUAACGGAAGCUGUUUGAGGGUAUUCAGGGUAAAAAUCAUAUGAAUUAUCAUGCUAAUCGUGUUGUUCCUUGUGGGUUUUAAUGAGAUGGUGCAUCAAGUGCAUCUCAGUUCUGUAAAAACGUACAACUAUUGUUGCUCGUGAAUCAGGGUGGCGCAGCCCAUUUGAGAUUCCAACCACGUCUCGGAAGGUAUCUUGCUGCAGCUGCAGAUAAUGUCGUAUCUAUAUUGGAUGUAGAGACACAACCGUGCAGGCAAACUUUGCAGGUUGAAUUUUUAGUAACUUCUUCCUUUUUAUUCGGUCUAGUCAAAUGGGGAUUGUUAUUGGUUGGAAAAAGGGGAUAUUGUUGCUGAGUGAAUGAGUGUCUUGCCUAUAGUAGGAAUGAUUGAAUGUUAUCGUUCCUCUUGGAUCUGCAACUACCUUUCCAGAUUCUAUGCCAUUGAAUUGUAUGCUUGCUACUGAUGGCUGUAGCUCAUUCUCUGUUAUUGUGUUGAAAUUUGAAAUGACAAUAUGUUUUGUUUCUCUUAGCAUUAGAAGAAAAGCUAUUAUUUCAUCUCUUUGCGAAAAUCUUACAGUUGCGAUGGGAGAUAUUUUGUUUUUUUUAUGCUAGGGUGUAUUGGUGAACCUAUUGGCUUGCUGGAUAUAUCUGAGUCAACUUGCCUUUAUAAAGUAGCAUUUUCCCAGGUCUAGGUUUGAGGCUCAAUCCAGUUGACAAAUGACUUUAGGAAAAAAGUUUGUCAUCUAAGCUUGUCAUCUUUUUAUCUACCGUGUCUAGGUAUAUGACAUUCAUGUGUGUCAACAUUUAUGGAUGCUAUUUUAAUGAGGCGAUUAGUUUCAAGGUAUGUGUCAUCUUUCAGAGCAUUUUAUCCUUAUUGAAAUUGUUACUCAUUCAAUUGCAUGGCCUUUUAAUUCAAGUUGGCCUUUCUAGCCUUUGGCAUAGUAACAAUUAAUACCUUUAUUCUUUUUGGUUCCUGCUUGUCGUAACGUGUUUGAUGUUUCCUGCAUGAAUCUGAAUUUUGAUAACAGGGGCAUACCAGGUCAAUUUAUUAUGUGUGCUUGGAUUCUACCGGCUGAGUUACUUGCAUUUGUCAGUGAGGACUCUGAGAGUUUGGGCAGUUGGGUCUGGUAGUGAAUGGGACUGUGUACAUGAAUUGAGCUGCAAUGGAAACAAGUUCUACUCCUGCGUGUUCCACCCAACUUAUCCUUCACUUUUGGUGAUUGGCUGCUACGAGGUAAGUCGCCAGUUUGAAUUAUUUAUUUUAGCAUUUUAAUGUGAAUUUUAGCUCCAUACGUAGGGGAAGUACGAUAUAAGUCCAUGUUUAGAUGUUCCCAGAUCUUGUGAAUUCUUAGGAUUAUAUAAGAAAUUUCUAGCAAGCUUCUCGGGAUGCUAAUCUGGCUUAUGAGUUUCUAAAAUAUUAAUUGAUUGUCUAAUACAAAUCAGGCGGCUUUGUCACUAUCCUUUGAAGUAGUGAAGGCUGGUUAAUUGGCAAUUUCAGAACCAUAGCUUCUGAAGCAGGCUCUACAGGAGCCAUGGAACAGCAAAAGCUAUGUGCCUUGACUAAAAGUACAAGUCACGUGAAUAGACUCUUUAGACUUCCAUUGCCCCAUAAGAUCUUGGGUUAACUGUGCUUUGGUCUAAGCUAAUCGAACAUUCUCUGCAGACCCUGGAGGUUUGGAAUAUGGCCGAGAACAAGACAAUGGCUUUACCAGCUCAUGAGGGACUAAUUUCAGCAUUGGCAGUAUCAAAUGUGACAGGCUUGGUUGCUUCAGCUAGUCACGACAAGACACUGAAGCUGUGGAAGUGAUACUUUGGCAUCUCUAGGUAUUUGUCCUAUGCACUCAGAUUGUAAGACUGCAUUUGCCGUUCCCAUCAAAGUGCAUGCAUCUUGUCCUCGUAUCAGUUGCGUCAGUACACCCGGUUGGUGUCGUCUCACUGAUACUAAUUUAGAGCUUAUCACGAGCGAUGGGAUUUAACUUUGUGACAUUUAUUGAUGUUGUACAUCGGGUGAUGACUUCUUUUGUCAAGUUGAAUCUUUCUGCGAAUGCUUUAGUGACAUGUAAUGUUUGGCCUUUCCUUGGAGAAGGAAAUGUUCUCAGGUAGGACGCUACAUCAAUAAUUGCCGUCUUCUUUCCUUUGGUACUUAUGCCAUGUCUCUCUUACUCGAACUUCGAUGUCAUUUACUUUUCUGGUCAGAUUGAAAUUCUCAUUGUCGGGUUUCAUUCUCAUUCUCAUCAACUUAAAGGGCCAAAAGAAACAGAUUUCGAGGAACCCUCCCAUUUAUUAGCUAUGAAGAGAUUGACAUGGAAUGAAAUGUGUUUUGGUUAGAUCCCUUGGAAACAAGUAGAUCCAUCAACCCUAGAAUGGGUGAAGGAAAGGAAAAAGGUUAUGAGGUGUACUAAAAAAGUAUUCCCCUGUUGUAGCCUUUAUUCGGGUAGUACCUUUCUUGUAUCGAUGAAUAACUGCACACGGAUAAUAUUGGAUUUGAUACUCAAAGAUAGUACCUCCCUCCGGUGAUUCCAUUUACUGGGUGAUUAUAAAAUGGAGACUUUCAUACAAGAGUUAUAGCCUUCGAAGUAAAGCGACAUUUACCGUGCAAAAAAUGUAUUUGACAUGUUGAGGGGCAAGAACUCUUUUCUUGUAAUAACUGUGUGUAUGCAUACGUAGCAAUUAAGGCAUACUACUAAAUCACUAUAGUAAACAUGUUUUGUAUGAUGUGGUGAAUGCACCGUUGGCAUGCCUCGUAUUCAUAGAUACAUAUGUUGGAGAAAACUUCCUUAUUUGUUUUGAAGCUAACAAAACGUUUCCAUCAGUUCAGUCUGAAGACUUACAGACUCUUUCGUCAAAGUCUGAAGACCGUCAAAGUCUGAAGACUGCCAGACCGCAAGACUCAAGAUUUAAAGUCUACCCUCAUUGACAGUUUCUAGACCGUCGAAGAAGACUUAUCCAGAAUCGAGUAUUUCUUUAAGGAUUUGAUUCGAGCGGCUAAAGAAGAUCUCUUGGUUGGAAAUAGCAUCUCAAGAUCUUUUAUUCGAUUUGAAAUUAAUUCGAGUAACUUGGAUCCGUUAAUUGGCGAAAUAUACUUGGAAGGUUUUACUUAUGGAAACUUGGAUCCUGAUUGUAUGGGCAAGCAGGAUUGGUGGCUAUCAUCAUAUUCCUUAAAUAACUCGAGAUCUUCCUAAUUGAUUUUAUCCAACGGGUAAAUUAGAAGAACUCCUUUGGAAGGUGCCAACGGUUAUGAAUGCAUGAAUGGGUAUAUAAGAAGGAUGCUCUAGUUGUUUAAAGUAGUGCGCGAUAGAUAAAUUUCAAAGUCUGAAGCUCUUUGUUCUCUGCUAGUUCAAUUGUUGUGCGUAAAUUUUGUACUCAAAAGAGAUUUUAGAUUCUUGUGAAACCUUAAGGAAGUGUAACAGAGUCUCUACACUGUGGAAUCAAUGACGUGAUACUGUAACGACUCUUUUGAUUUAUUGUAAAAUCCAGCCGGUAGGCUAUCAGUGCGGGAGAGUGGACGUAGGCUUGGAUUAAACCGAACCACUAUAAAUAUUGUGUUCUUAUUCUCUUCUCUGAACUCUUUUACUUUGUUCGUAACUCUACUUGAUUGUUAAAGUCUAUUUUCAUCUUCAAAGUCUACUGUUAAACAGACUCAGGUUAAAAGUAACGUUUUAUACUAUAUUCUGCAAAAGGUUGUUUGUGCACCUAUUCACCCCUCUAAGUGCUCGUACUAGCUAACUCAAUUGGUAUCAGAGCCUGUGUACUCAUUUGAAUUGAAGUGUUUUUACUUCAGAGUUAACGAUCCAUGGCUAGUAUGUUGGCUUCAGAGUUGGUUGAAGGGCAAAGCAACACCAGACCGCCUUAUUUUGACGGAAAUGAACACAACAUAUGGAAAAACAGAAUGAAGGCAUUCCUUAGAUCAAAAGAUUCUUUGGAAUAGGAUGUGGUAGACAAAAGAAUCAUUCCUAAAGCUACAACAGUCUUAGAAAGGAGAAAAGAAGCUGUUGAGGCUAGCGUGAUGACUCAAGAAAAGAUAACCAAGAGACAAGCUUUUGAUGCAAAAGCAAUUUAUUCCUUAUAUUGUGCAUUAUCUCUUACUGAAUAUAACAGAAUAUCUUAUUGUGAAACAGCUAAAGAAGUCUGGGAUAGGCUGCACAUUACCUAUGAAGGAACCAAUCGAGUGAAAGAAACCAGGAUCAAUAUCCUGCUUGGUCAAUAUGAAGCCUUCAAGAUGAAACAAGGAAAAACUAUCACUAACAUGUUUAAUCGUUUUACAGAAAUCGUGAAUGGUCUUGAGUAUCAAGGUCAACCAAUUUCUGGACCCAUGAAGGUUAACAAACUGCUACGUAGACUUUCAAAAGAUUGGAAUCACAUAAAAACCUCAAUAAGAGAGACACAAAUAUUCAUGCCACUCUCUGUUGACGAAUUGGUUGGCACUCUUUAGUCUUAUGAAGUGGAGAAAAUCAAUGAAGAUGAAGAUCCCAAAGGUAAAAAAAAUCCAUUGCUUUAAAAUCUAAUGAUGAUUCUGAUGUUACAAAUUCUGAAGAUGAUAUGGAUGAUGAAGAGUUUGCUCUCAUGAUAAGAAGGCUCAGAAAACUGAACAAAAAGGGAAGAAAAUUCAAUUGGAAGAAACAAAGCUCUCAAAAGUUUCAAAAUAAAUCAGCUGAUGAUGAUGAAUCCAAUAAAGAUGUGAUUUGUUUUGAAUAUAAGAAAAAUGGACACAUCAGACCCAACUGUCCCUUGCUGAAGAAAAGAAAGGAAAAACUGAGAAGUACAGGAAGGCUCUCAAAGCAGAAACUUGGAAUGAUACCGAAUGCGAAGAGAGUGAUGAUGAUUAUGUUAAUAUUUGUCUAAUGGCACAAUCAAAAUCAGAUUCAGACUCUGAGACAAACUCAAACUCAGACAGUGAAAUCGAGGUAAGUAAUUUAAAAAUUCCUACUAAAGUCUCUAAAUAUAUUGAUGAACUGUGUCUUAGUCUUUAAACCUCUCUAAGAUUUUUGAACUAAAAAGGGAAAAUUCUACACUGAAGCAACAUAAGAUUGUUUGGAAAAAAAAAAUUCGAAGACUUAGAUAACAGUUUUAUUACUCUGAAAGAAAAUGCAGACUUUCUUUCAAAAGAAAAUACACUUUUGAAAAAUAAUAUUUCAAGCAUUUCAAAAAGAUUUUCUAUAGGAUUUGAGAAAUUUGAAAAGAUUCUUUCAGUUCAAAGACCUUAUUUUAACAAAUCAUGUUUGGAAAUGACUACUGAAACCAUCCCUCUAAUUGAUUUUCCAAAAGUAAAGGAAAGAAUCAAACAAAGACCUACAAAAGAUUUUUACAGAAAUCAUUUUCAAAAAAUCUUUGUAAAACCUGUUGGCUGUAGUGCUCUUAAAUGUUCUAAGUGUAACAGCUCAAAACACUUUGAGAAAGAAUGUCCUAUGAUUUGGAAACAUGUUAAGAAAGUUUGGGCAAAGACCGUAUAUUGCACUAACUCCAUUGGACCCAAUAAAGUAUGGAUACCAAAGAAAACUUGAGUUUCUUUUUUAAAUGCAGGUCACUAUCAAGAAAAAUGUCAAAUGGUACUUGGAUAGUAGAUGCUCAAGACAUAUGACAGGAGACUCAAGUUGUUUCAUAAAGCUUAUGCAAGUUAAUGGUGGAAAAGUUUCUUUUGGUGAAAAUAGCAAAAGAAGAAUUGUUGGUUGCUGUUGACACCUAAAUUUUGGCUACCCGUUUAGUAAUUUGUCGCAUUAAGAAAUUAGGGAUUAAUUUUAACCCCUAAAAAAAUAUUAAUUACAUAGCAUAUAGAUUUAGAUGCAUUUGUUUUUAAUUUGCAUUUUUUUACAUUUAUUUACUGGACCGGUGGCGGAUGGGUCGAAUUAGUGGUUUUGGGUUUUAAAUUAGUAGGCUGGGCUAGGCUCACGAAUGGAGAAAAUUAACCCAAGCCCGUUGUUGUUUAAUUAAUUAUCUUGUGAAAAUUUAAGAUUUGAUGCGAUAUUAUGAUGAUUUUUGGAAAUUAAAAAAAAUCGCAUUGUAAUCUUAUCUUUAUCAAUAGAUGAUGAAAUCGACGGAGAAUAUUUAGGAGAUAAGGAGAAUAAAAUAUUUUGGUGAUUAGGAGGUUAUAGACAAUCUUUUCGUCGGAUAAAAUAUUCACAAAAGGAUUGCAUUUUGUCUUGGCCUAUAAAAGGGUGUGUACGUAGGGUUUAGAAAAGGGGGGGCCACGCAAUUGAGACAUUCGGCCAUAUUGAAAGGAAAAAAAUUCAGAGAGAAAAGCGACUGGUCUGCAGAGAGAGAGAGAGAGGACUGGUGAGCGGCGUUUAGAGAUAUACACGGGAGAGAGAGAAAAGAGAAGGAAUUCUCUCUGCCAAGUUGAGGAGCCCCCACAUUGUGCGAGGCCUUUUGCUACAGCGCCACACCCUAGCCGCCAGAGUUACCGUGGACACACGUCUUUGCUACGUCGCCCCCUGCAGCGACGAUGGAUUCGCUGCUGUGACCUCUUUGCCUUUGCGACGAGCUGCUGAUCUGGUGCCAACCUCCUACCGUCGUGACCAGGCCUCGACGAACCCAGUUCAACAGAGACCAAUCACUAGAGCAGCCCCCAUCCCCGACGAUCCACNNNNNNNNNNNNNNNNNNNNNNNNNNNNNNNNNNNNNNNNNNNNNNNNNNNNNNNNNNNNNNNNNNNNNNNNNNNNNNNNNNNNNNNNNNNNNNNNNNNNCCGCUGCUUUUGCUAUACCACGAGCCAGCGCACCCCAGGGACGCUUGAACCACUACAGCCUAGUUCGGAGUUAGCAAAGACUCCUGCAAGUUCCAUCUGGCCUGGUGAUGCCCUGAAGUUCAAAGAGGCCAAUAUCUCCUGACCGGCGUAAAUAUCUCGUCGUAUUUUCGCGGCCACCGCUUGCGAGCUUGAAGUCCACGGUCAAAAAGAGAUAUUAUAGAAUCUCGCUUGAAUAAUUCUGAGUGGUGGGUUGGUCUUCUUUUUUAAGUUUUGUCCAUAUUUUACUAUAACAUUUUGUGGGCUUUGUGAUUUUGUUUCAUGCGAGCAAAAGAACGUUUUUUGGCAAUGAGAUCUCAAAGAAUUCGGAUGCGUGGCGACUAUAGACAGAGGGGAGAAGAAUAGAUGCCAUAAUGUACCGCUACCUCCCCGUGAGCCCUAUCCACCGUGUAUACCGCCGACCGCUUCACACUGAGUCCCUAUUGCUGGCCACUCACUGAGAAUUGCAAACCACCACGGUUCACGAGUUGCCCGUCGACGUUGACGCCAAGCUCGAGCCAGCGUUGAUCUUCUCUUCAAACCGAUCCGUUGAAGUUUCUACUUUCGCAGGUUCAUUGGCUGUGACCCACCCGCAUCGCUGCUCACCACCGCUGCUGCGACCCGACGCUAGAAGUCGCCACACCACCGUAACAUCUCCGGCUGAUCCCAAACAUCCCAGCAGCACCACGAAUUGCUGAGCCACGCCCCGGAAGAUACUACUCUAUGUUUUUGCAGGUUUACCGGUGCCCUUGUCUACAUCCAGCAACAAAACCGUGGCGUCUCACGUGUUCCGAAAAGAGGAUAAAGUUGCCGCAGGUGGAAAGGGAUCACAAUUUGGUCAAAUAAGUGCAAGCGGUGAAUUUGUCUUAUGUUGAGUUUUGUCUCGUAUUUACAACUUGUGGGUUUUAUGGUUUCACUUCAUGCAAGAAGAAGAUUAAUUUUAGGCCAGGAGCUCAUGAAGAAUUCAGACGUGUGGAGAUAUUCAUUAGUGGAAGAAUAGAGAACAGACUUCGGGUCUCUUGACCGCGAGUACACCGCUGGCCAACCUUGGUCGUGGGUUGUGAGUAGCCGUUUGAGGAUCGGAAUUCGAAAGCCAAUAUUCGAAUUAGGUAAAAAUCUUAUCUAUUUUGAUUUUCGAAAAUUCCGUUUCCUUAUUUGAUAUAUUCGUUGAUGCCCAUGAUGGAAAUUUCCGAUAUGCUAAGAUAUGUGAAAUCUGGAGUAGCCUUCUAAAUUAGGAAAUCUUCCUAAUUUCGCAACGUGCAUAUGAUUGACGGUCCGAUUUCAUGCUCGAAAUACGACCCGUAAUCGCACGGAAAAAUCACCAAUCUGAUCUCACGCUCGAGAUACGAUUCGUGAUUUUGUCUAAAAUUGGCCAAUCCGAUCUCAUGUGCGGGAUAUGAUUCGUCAAUUUGUGGAUAUUGAUCUUAUCUUGCCUGAUUUGCUAUCGUGUCGUUUGAAUCAAUUUCGUUUUCAUAAAAAAGAAAAUAAAAAAAAUUGAAUUAGGAUUAGGUUUGUUUUAGAAUAUUUCUUGUUAUCUUGCAUAUUUAGAAUAGAGAUUUUAUUUCGAAUUUCAAAAAUCAAAAAUCAAAUCAAUCAAUUUAGGUUGCUAGUGUUUUUUACUUAGGUUGCAUGUUUAAUAAUUUGAUAAUUCUUAAUUUCGAAAUUAAUAAAACAAAAACACAAAAAAGGUCAUCAUGCAUAUGUCAUGUAGAAUUAGGACAUUCUUUAUACGUCAUUGCAUAUUAGAAUAAAUUGCAUGCUUAUUUAGAAUAAAAACCAUGUGCACGUCAUAUAGAAUUAGGUUCAUACAAUGCAUGUCAUUUAGUGAUUUUUGUUAGGUCCAUUUAAGUAGAAAUUGUCAGUCAUUAGAUUAAUUUAGAUUGCAUAUUUAAAUGUUGCAUUUCUUUAAUUUCGAAUCUCAUAGAAAAUACAAAAAAAAAUUAUUUAGAAUAAAUCCAUCUCAUGCUUAGGAUAGACUACAUGCUUAGUUAUGUCAUAUUGCUUAGGUCAUAUAGCUAAGUCAUGUUGCCAUGUUAUAUCAUUUCAUGUUAAAUUAGUGGCAUGCAUUGCAUAUUGCAUGAUUUUCAUUAAUUAAGUGAAAACAAAACAAAAAUUGCGUGUUAAUUAGAAAUCAUAUUUAGGACUGCUGAUGUGAAUUCUAAACUAACAACGCAGAUGCUUUCGUUGCUAUAAGGUAAGUCCUGCAAUUUAUUCAUUUGUUUUCUUGAGUGUUAAAUUGGUGGUUUGCGCACCUGCAUGGUCACCUCACAUGUUAGGAAAAUAGAUUUAAAAUUAAUCCAAAUUGCUUGCCAAACAUUUUUCAAAAUAAAAAGAAAGGUAUCAAAAGGGCGUUAGAGAAAUCUAACGUAACCAAGUCCCCGUACCCUUAGUCUCUGGUUCGUAGGAGUAAAGUAAAUCUCCCAUUACUUUAUUAGGGUUUCUAAUCGACCCACCAAAAAUAGAUUAGUGGCGACUCCUGAUUAAAAUUCAAUUGCAUGUUAACAAUUCAAACCUAAGUCCCGAAUUGGUAUGGGCUUGGGAGAGCCCGAGUUAAAUCUAGGCUUAAUAAUCAAUUAGCCAAAUCCUAGGUGGUUCACCCCCCGAAAAAAUUGGGUCGCGACAGUUGCGGAACAGUAAAGAUUGGAAAUCUCACAAUCAACAACGUCUCCUUAGUAAAAUGACUCAACUAUAAUUGGAAGGACCUAACUGUGUGACAUAGAUUUCAAAAUCAACUUUCAAGAAUGAAUAUGUUCUAGAACCAAUAAAGACUCCUCUCAGACUUUCACGGAGUGAAGACAUGGGAAUAUCUAUCUCUUGGAUAUCAAACUAGAAAAAUCUCAAUAUCUAAUUUCAAUUCAAGAGGAAGCUAAUAUCUGGCACAGAAAACUUGGCCACAUCAACGUGAAGCAAAUAGCCAAGAUCUCUACAAAGAAGCUUGUUUGUAGACUAUCCAACCUGACAUACCAAAAAUCUGAAUUAUGCACACCAUGUGUAUUGGAAAAACAGGUUAGAAGUUUUUCAAACCAAUAAAUCAAGUUUCCACUAAUCGUGUACUGCAGCUCCUAUAUAUGGAUCUUUUCGGAUCAACCAUGACUCAGAGCAUUGGUGGAAAGAAAUAUUGCCUAGUAAUAGUGGAUGAUUAUUCACGAUUUACUUGGGUGUAUUUCCUGGCAAGUAAGUCUAAAACAUUUUCUUAUUUCAUAAAGUUUGCUAAGAAAGUACAGAAUAAGAAAGGGUAUGUUAUUUCAAGCAUACGAACAAACCAUGGAGGUGAGUUUAAAAAUCAAGACUUUGCUAAACUUUGUGAUGAAUCUGGUUUUCAGCAUGUGUUCUCAUCUCCAUACAAUCCAGAACAUAAUGUAGUUGUGGAAAGGAAGAAUAGAUCGUUGCAAAAAAAUGGCAAAAACACUUUUAAUUGAAAGUAACAUUUCUUCUCGUUUUUUGGCUGAAGCAGUUUCUACAGCAUGUUAUAUUAUUAAUAGAGUCUUCUUAAGGCCUAUUCUGGAGAAAACUCCCUAUGAGUUGUUCAAAGGAAAGAAGCCAAUUGCGAUUCGUGCUGUUCCUUCUCUUCCUUAUAGCGUUNNNNNNNNNNNNNNNNNNNNNNNNNNNNNNNNNNNNNNNNNNNNNNNNNNNNNNNNNNNNNNNNNNNNNNNNNNNNNNNNNNNNNNNNNNNNNNNNNNNNAGAUGAAGCAAUCUUCUUUGAAUAUUCAACCACCAGCAAAGCUUACAGAGUAUACAACAAAAAGACUCAAUCUGUGGAGGAAUCGAUGAAUGUCAAAUUUCAAAACUUUAUACAAAAUCAAUCGAUCCAGACUCAACCUGAAGAAUCUGAAUCUGCUCCAGACUCUACAAAGUCUAAAUCCCCAGAUACAGCUCAGACUUCAAAAGAUCAACAACAAACGAUCGUUGUAGAAUCAAAUGAAGAAAAAGAUCAAUAGUCUGUCAAACCAACCAGCAACUGGAAGCACAAGUCUAGUCACCCCAAAGAACUCAUUAUUGGUAAAAUUGAUGAAGGGAUUCGUACAAGAUCCAAAAAGCAUGAAAAGUCUAGCGAUGUGGCUCUUAUUUCUAAAAUAGAACCCAAAAGCAUAGAGGAAGCUUUAACUGAUGAAAGUUGGAUUGAAGCUAUGCAAGAAGAACUCAGGCAAUUCAGUAUCAACGAUGUUUGAGAAUUGACUCCUAAACCAAAAGGUAAAUCUGUUGUUGGAGCUAAACGGGUUUUCAGGAACAAGAUGAACGAGAAAGGAAAACUCAUAAGGAAUAAAGCAAAACUCGUGGCCAAAGGAUAUAUGCAAGAAGAUGGGAUAGACUAUGAUGAGACUUACGCACCAGUGGCAAGGUUAGAAGUAAUCAGAUUAUUACUUACUUUUGCUUGUUAUAAGAAUUUUAGGUUAUUUCAAAUGGACGUCAAAAGUGCAUUCCUGAAUGGUUUUAUCCAAGAGGAAGUCUAUGUGGAGCAACUUCUCGGUUUUGAGGACCCAAGGAAACCAGACUCUGUAUUCAGAUUGAAAAAUGCUCUAUAUGGUUUAAAACAAGCACCUCGAGCUUGAUAUGAUAGGUUAAGUAAGUUCUUAAUCCAAAAUGGGUUUGUUAAAGGUAAAGUAGACACUACUUUGUUUAUCAAAAGAGAAAGUAAAGACUUCUUACCUGUUUAAAUCUAUGUUGAUGAUAUUAUUUUUAGAUCACCUAACGAAAUCUGUGCAAGAAAUUCUCUAAGUCCAUGCAGGAUAAAUUCGAGAUGAGCAUGAUGGGUGAACUAUCUUUCUUUCUUAGACUACAAGUAAAGCAAUUAAAGGAAGGGACUUUCAUUCACCAAGAAAAAUAUGCUAAAGAACUUGUUAAAAAGUUCGGUUUGGAGAAUUGCAAAAAGACUGAUAUACCAAUGUCAAGUUCCUCGAAGCUGGACAAAGAUGAAUGAGGAAAGAAAGUUUACCAGAAGCUGUACAGGAGUAUCAUUGGUUCACUUCUCUAUCUUACUGCUUCUAGACCUGACAUUUUGUUUAGUGUUUGCAUUUGUGCCAGAUUUCAAUCAGAUUCCAAAGAAUCUCAUCUAAGUGCUGCAAAACGCAUCAUCAAAUAUGUAGCAACAACCUCCAGGUUAGCUCUAUGGUAUCCUAAAGAAUGAGACUUUACUCUCAUUGGAUAUUCAGACGCAAAUCUAGCAGGAUGCAAAGUUGAUAGAAAGAGCACAUCGGGCACUUGUCAAUUGCUUGGUAACAUGACAGUAUCUUGGUUUUCAAGGAAGCAAAGUACUAUAACUCUCUCAACAGCAGAAGCAGAGUAUGUGGCUCUUGGAAGUUGUUGUUCUCAAAUCUUAUGAAUAAAACAACAACUAAGAGACUUUGAAAUAGAAUAUUAAUGCACUGAGAUCAAAUGUGACAACACCAGCGCGAUUAAUCUCACCAAGAAUCCAAUUCUUCAUUCAAGAGCAAAGCAUAUAGAGAUUCGACAUCAUUUUAUUAGAGACCAUGUUCAAAAUGGAGAAGUCUUGAUUCAAUUCAUUGACUCAAAGAAUCAGCUGACGGACAUAUUUACAAAACCUCUGGAAAAAAGUCAAUUUGAAUCUAUUCGUUCCAAACUUAAUAUCUUAAAAUCUGAAGAAGCUCAGACUCAGGGAUAAAAGUAUAAGGAUUCUCAGACUCAGAAGAUCAAGAUUUUCGACUGUAAGUUACUUCCUUUUUAUCUCUCGGAUAAAAACUCAAAAAGGUACGAAUGCCUAUUAAUCUACAAUUGAUUGAUGUUAUCUUUCCAAAUUUUGUAAUCAUUCCUUUUCGAAAUAGGAGUUAUCUUUUUACAGUAAUCUAUUUUCAAAAAAGCAAUUAUUUUUGAAAAAAUGCAUUUUCUAUUUUUUUCUUUUACGACGUUCCGUAUACUUCGUUUCGAUUGCUUUCUAUACUGUUUGUUUUCUUCUAUUUUACUCACAAAACCCUAGAAAGCACAAAACAUCACCAUCUCUCUUUUACUCUCUAGUUUAAUCCUCAAAGUUUUCAUUUUUCUUGCGUAACGAGUUUAGAAUCUCUCAAAGACUGUGAGAAUGUCUUUCCAAAGAAAGUCUUCAAGGCUUGCGAGCAGGGGACCACAGCAUAUGCGUGAGGAACCUACGCACUUUGACCUUACGGAAGAAGAAGAAUCUCCAAGACAACAGCAGAGUCCACAACAUUCUCAACUGCGUCAUACUCCUCAAGCUAGACCUCAGGAUGUUCAUCAUUGAGCGGAAGAAGAAAUUAUUGAAGAUGCAGAACCUGUAAGAACUCAAAAGCCUGUCUUUACCUUUAAACUCUACUCUGCCUUGAAGGAGGGAGGUACUCCCUUGAACUUUAUUGAUGAAUUUUUGAAAGAGAAAGGGUAUCGAAAUGAAACCCACUUUUUGCGAACGAUGGAACGAUUGGGAGUUGCUCCUGCGAGGUCGGCAGAAAAAGCCUUUGCGAAUAUUCCAAGCGAUCCACGUGUUGGAGGGCCUAGUCAACUUGAUGGAAAUGAUGAUGACAAGAUGUACACUCAUUUUAAGCCUAGAAUGGGUGUUGCGGCAAAUAUUCGAAGCAAAAGGACAGAUUUGUUUCGCUCUGAGGAACACAAGCGAUUUUACUCUAAGUUGCUAAAACGAGGGUGAUGAACCCAAGAAGUGUGAACUUUGAUUUUCUUGAUUCUUUAAACGUAAAGUUGCGAGAGAAAUUCACCCUACUUCAACUUGAACGAUUUUGUUCUGAAACAAUAGUGGCUCAUCCAAAACUUACUGCGUAUUUCUAUUCUAAUCUAAGUUUCUUGGAUGUGAAUAGAUUUUCUUUCAAUGUUCAAGACCAAGACUAUGUAGUUGAUAUGGACACAUUGACUGAUGUGAUUAGAGUAAAGAGAGGGGUAUUCCAAUCAAUUAGUGUGUCUAUUGGUCAUGCGACUAUAGAGCUUGUUCGGGAUGGAAUGGCGGAAUGACGAAUUUCGUACUUGAGAAUGAAUGCCUCAAAUGUUUUGCUUCACAAAAUUGUGAUCAAUUUGCCUUAGACCCAAAUCAACCUCAAAGACUAACGUCUCAAAUUCAGAAGCAAAGCUGAUGUAUGCUAUAAAUGCUGGCAGAAAGUUCUCUCUGCCACACACUAUCAUGUUUCACAUGUAUAGAUCGAUGGUGAAGGACAAAGGCCAACUUCCUUAUUCAGCUCUUGUCACUCAGUUAUUCAGACAUUUUCAUAUUCAGCCUCCCAAAAUCUUAUGUGUUCGAACGUGUUAUCAAAUGGUAGUGGGACUGAAGAUGGUUUCCAAAAUGCGUCUAAAUGAGUUGAACAAAGCUUUGGAGCAAUUUAAGGAGAAAACCCUCGUCAAGACUAGACAAGACUCUGUGAUGGCAAAAAGGAAAGGCAAGGAGCCGAUGACAGCUCCAUCCAAGAAAAGAAGAGCACUCAUCCUGGAAGAUGAAGAAGAGCACUUUUGUUCCAGAGUCAAAGGAGAGAAAGGAUCAAGACAAAGAAGAGACAGAGAAAAGAAGUGAACAGAGAGAAGCAUUGAGAAAAGCAGCAGAGGAAGUAAGAUCAGCAGAAGAAGAGGAAAGAGGAGAACAAGAUCAACAUGUCGUUGAGGCCGAGACAGAGCAUGAAGAAUACUUCUCUCCACCGGAAGGCAAUGAAACAGGGGGAGCUGUAGAGAAAAGAGGUACUUCUUCACUUGUCUUCACUAGUGAUGAUGUUAGUCGUUCACCUACAGAUCCAGAAGAAGUAUAUGCCUCUCAAUUCCUUGAAGAAGGUCAUGAGGUUUCAUCUCCACAUUUGGGUGCUCAUACUGAAAUGCCAUCGUCUGCUAAUGUUGGAGAAAUCUUCUUGAAGUGUUUUGAAGUUGACAAAACGUUUCUAUCAGUCUAGUCUGAAGGCUUGCAGACUCUGCUAUUUAAAGUCUGAAGACCUCCGGACAGCCAGACUCAAGACUCAAAGUCUAUCCUCAUUGACAGUCUCUAAUCCAUUGAAGAAAGGUUAUCCAGAACUGUAUGUUUCGUUAAGGAUUUGACCUUAUCAAUUGGAGAAGAUCUCGUGGCUGGAGAAGACAUAACGGAGUCCUUUGAUUGAUCGAAGAUUGACUCGAUAAUUGAAGAUCCGGUGAUUGCCUAAGUAUCAUUGGAAGGUUCUGCUUAUGGAAACCGAGAUCCUGAUUGUAUGGGCGAACAGGAUUGAUGGGCUAUCAACACGUUCUUUUAAUAGCUUGAACAAUCUUCCUAAUUGAUUCCGUCCAACGGGUAGAUUGGAGGAAUUCCUUUGGUAAGUGCCAACGGGUAUGAUGGCAUAAAGGAGUAUAUAAGGAAGACUGUCUUAGUUGUUCAAGGUGUGCGCAAUAGAAGAAUUCCAAAGUCUGAAGCUCCUAUUUGUUUAGAUAAAUCCUUUGAGCGAAUACUUGUAUACAAAAGAGAGUCUAUAUUUGUGAGAGACCUUGAGGAGGUGUGGUAGAACAUCUACACUGUGGAAUCAAGGCAAAGUUGUGCUGUAACUUCUCUUUUGAUCAUAGUGAAAUCCAGCCGGUGGGCUGUCAGUGCGGAAGAGUGGACGUAGGCUUGGAAUAAGCCGAACCACUAUAAAUCCUAUGUUCAAUUUUCUCUUCCUCAUUCUCUCUACCUCGAUCGUAUUUCAUUUUGUUAAUUAAGAGAGAAUUUACUUUCUAUCAUAUGCUAAGAAUCGCUUCCGUAUAUCGAUAAAUUGUUUAUGCACCUAUUUACCCCCCUCUAGGUACUCAUACUAGCAAUAUCAACUAAAACUAUACAAUCUUACCAUGCUGAAACAAGCACUCAAACUGAUACCUCAGCAGACUUUCGAAGAUUGCUUGAUGUUCUUUUGGAAAUGCAAGGCUAGAUUUAUGCUCUAGGAUGCGAAGUUCAAAAUAUACAUAAUGCCAAUCAAGCCUCUUCAGUUUCGUUGCUCAAUCAAGUUCAGACCAUUUCUCUUCAAAUUCAAGCAACUGCCAAGGGUCAGGAAGUAGAUCAACUGAAGGAGGACUUGAGAAAGCUGGAGGAGACUGUCCAGUCGAUGGGAGAUUUCCAGCUUGUUCACAUUCUAAAGUAAUCUUGAUUUUAUUCAAAUCUUUAUUUCGUCUCCUUUUUAAUGCUGACAAAAAGGGGGAGAGAUCUGCAAAUUUGACUCACUCUUAUUUGACUUUACUUUUGUUUGGUUGUGACUGGCUUGGAUUAUGUUUUGAUGGUUUAAUCUGAGGUGUUUUGAUCGCUUAUUGCUUGCAAUAUCUUAAGCAUUGUUGAUAUUCUCAUGGCAAAGAUAGUUGUUUUUACAGGACUAACUCAUUUCCUGUGGAUGCAGAUUCGAUAUUAUCUUUAUUCUAAUCCAUUUAUCUUUUAUGAGAUAUCUUUGUUUGCUUGAGUAUUGUCCUGCAGGUCAAAAGAAUUGAAAUCUGCAUGAAAGUUUUGUCACUAUAAAAAAUGUGGAGAUUGUUAGAGAAAACUUCAUUAUUUGUUUUGAAGCUGACAAAACGUUUCCAUCAGUUCAGUCUGAAGACUUACAGACUCUUUCGUCAAAGUCUGAAGACUGCCAGACCGCCAGACUCAAUAUUUAAAGUCUGCCCUCAUUGACAGUUUCUAGACCGUCGAAGAAGACUUAUCCAGAAUCGAGUAUUUCUUUAAGGAUUUGAUUCGAGCGGCUAAAGAGGAUCUUUUGGCUGGAAAUAACAUCUCAAGAUCUUUUAUUCGAUUUGAAAUUAAUUCGAGUAACUUGGAUCCGUUGAUGGCGAAGUAUACUUGGAAGAUUCUACUUAUGGAAACCUAGAUCCUGAUUGUAUGGGCGAGCAGGAUUGGUGGGCUAUCAUCACAUUCCUUUAAUAACUCGAGAUCUCCCUAAUUGAUUCUGUCCAACGGGUAGAUUGAAAGAACUCAUUUGGAAGACGCCAACGGUUAUGAAGGCAUGGAGGGGUAUAUAAGGAAGAUGCUCUAGUUGUUUAAAGUAGUACGCGAUAGAUAAAUUUCAAAAUCUAAAGCUCCUUAUUCUUUACCGAUUCAAUUGUUAAGUGUAAAUUUUGUACUCAAAAGAGAGUUUAGAUUAUUGUGAAACCUUAAGGAAGUGUAGCAGAGUCUCUAUAUUGUGGAAUCAAGGACGUGAUACUGUAACGACUCUUUUGAUUCAUAGUGAAAUCUAGCCGAUGGGCUGUCAAUGCAGGAGAGUAGACGUAGACUUGGAUUAAGCCGAACCACUAUAAACAUUGUGUUCUUAUUCUCUUCCCUGAACUCUUUUACUUUGUUCGUAACUCUACUUGAUUAUUAGAGUCUAUUUUCAUCUUCAAAGUCUACUAUUAAACAGACUCAGGUUAAAAGUAACGUUUUAUACUAUAUUCUGCAAAAAGUUGUUUGUUCACCUAUUCACCCCAUCUAGGUGCUUAUACUAGCUAUCUCAACAUAGUGGUACUAUGUAUUGUAUUGCUGUGGAGUGAAAAAGCUAGAAACUGCUGUAGAUGUAACUUGUUUUCAACGGAACUAAUGGCAAUUUGCAAGUAUGCAUUGUUCGUCUGAAAUGCUGUUCUCAUGGUGAUAUCAAAUUCUCCCCCAGUUCUAUGCUCUUCAUGGGUCCAGAGCACAGAAACAUCAUGAAGAUAAACAUGCCAACCUGGGCUCUCUCUCUCUCUCUCUCUCUCUCUCUCUCUCUCAUUGCGGGCGCACACCCGCCCGCCUCUGGUUUGGUCGGAACUGUUUAUUUUUGUGACUUUCCUGCCAUUACAUUGCCUUUUGUUGUAUCAUUUACGGCAGCGAUCCUUUGCUGCAUUACUGGCCUUGUCUUGCAAGUUCCGUUCUUGCUCCCGCCCGGCAAAAUGCAUAAUACCAUCGACCGUCUCCUGAACCCACUGUGCCGCCUGGAGAUUCUUGAAUCUUUGCUAAUUGUGCCAACCGAGCAGGUUAUGCAUGUGGUGGGUUGACUAAAAAUUCCUACAUUAUAGGAGAGUUCUGGUCCGAUGAUGUCAAGUUGAUCUGCUGUGUUCCUCUAUUAUUUGUGACAGAGAUCAUGCGUUUGUGUUGGGCAAUAAAGGGUUUUCCUUUUAAACAAAGAGAACAUGGACAAAAGCCGAGAACUUUUAUCUAUCUAAAAUGUUAGAAACACAUAUGUACGAGUAUAUAGAUAACUUGAUAUAAUUCUUAAAUAUAGUUAUGAAAAUACUUAGAUAACUUGAUACAAUUUGAAAUGAGGCUCUAUUUUUACUACCAUACUUAUUGUUGAAAAGAUAUUAUAAAAUCCGGGUAAUAGCAUAAUUUUGAAUAUAUGUGAAAAAAUUUAGAAGAAUUGAUUUGACUUUGUUAUAGAAAGUUGACGACAAGACUCUACAAAUGUAGAGUUAGAUUGUGCAUUUUGCUAUUAAUUAGGGAUCAGAUUGAAUAUUUCACAAUUGUUCAAGGGCUUGUGGUGACUUUCUCCUUGUUUGAUGAAAUCUACAAUCAAAUAUUUAAAAAUAAUUCAAGGACCAUCUUAAAUGAACUAAAAAUAAUUACACAUUAGACUAAAUUUCAUGAAUUAUUAUGUAAUACAAGAUUUGAUUAUUUGCGGUAUCUCUAGCCCAAAUUUGUUUAAGAAAUUUGUAUAGAUUCAAUUUGGUCGAUUAAUCUCCGAAAACAGAUGCCGAAAAAAAAAAGGAAUCCAUUUUUUUUUAUAGACUAAAAGCUUCAUUAACUCAAAAAAAUAAAAAUAAAAAAUUGCGUCGAAUUGUUAUAUAGAUUGAAAAAUCAGUAGGAAACUGUCGCCCAAUUUAUCCGUUUUUUCAGGAAUCCGCUCUAAAUAAUAAAGAGAAGAUCCGACGGCAGAAAAGCGGGUCCGACCCUGGGGAUGGCCGAGCCACCGUCCGAUUCCCCGAGUCUGCUGACGGCCGUCGUCGGUCUCCUCGAAUCGAUCGAUCUCGGCCCGACACGGCGUCGCCACCCGCCGGACGCCGCCGCGCUCGUCGCCGGACUGUCCCGGUGCAUCCGCGCCGUCGAUCCCGAGCUCAGCCUACCCUCGCCUGAAACUCUAACUCAAGAUAACAUCAGGCAAUCUCUCUCUCUCUCUCUCUCUCUCUAUCGUGGGCGUAUUGCUUCUUGCAUUUCCAGUUUGAUUUACAGCUCCCUCUGUCGACAUUCAUGGUGAGAGAUGGAAGAAAGGACGUUUCUUUGUUUGAUCCGUUGGUUCGUUUAGUGGGAUGAUAAUUGAUGGCAGUGACACUACAUGGGUUGGUGAACCCUCUUGAGUUUCACGUCAUAUCACUGCUCAGAAUGAAGUUUGCGCCCUGUGUUCUGAGGUUGUUUGAUUGUUAGAGAGCAUGCAUUCCUUUCUUUUAUAUGAGUUCUGAGGAAAGCUUGAGUCUUGACCAAUGGCUGCUUGGGGUAUUUUGCCAAAAAUACUGUCUUUCUUGCUUAAGUAAAUUAGUUUCUUUUCAGGGAGUCGCCUCGAUGUAGUUUAUGUUGCCCUCCGUUUACAAUUAUGUCACAGGGUAAAUGGGUAUUCAAAUUGAACUUUUUCCAAUUGCAUUUAUGGCUUCUGUUAUUGUUAUUCAGGGAAGCGAGCCAUGGUGUCGAAGAAGCUUUAAAAUUGUUAAACUGCCCACACCCUCUGCAAGCUUCGGACAUUUACAGUCUUGAAGUCGGAAGCGUGUAUCCUGUUGCACGGUGGCUUGUCAAUCAUGUUCGUAUCCGCAUUGGAGUUACGGGGGAUGAGGUGAGUUUGGCUAAUUGGUGCUGUGCCAUGGUUCUGAACUAGUUCUGCAUCUUUACAUGCUAAUGUGGCUUCCUUUCUGUUGUAAAUUAAAUCACUCUUGCUACUAAGAUCAUGCCAUCUUUGCUCUAGAGACACCCAUAAUUAUCUCACAGGGCUUUUUGCUAAAGAUCAGGAGAAUCCUCUUUGGCAGCUUAAUGGUGGAUUGGGUGCUGCAAGAACUACUUUUGAGUCUAGAUACAGCGAUCCAGAGGAAAAGGUUAGUGAGAUGAUAUAACGGUUGGAGCUCAUUAAUUCGGAUUCAUGCAAGAGAUUAACACUUAUUUAGGAGUACUUUCUUCAAAAGGCAGAAGCUCUUUCCUCUGUUUCCUAUGGUAGCCAGAUUCAUCUGGUGGUAACUUUAGUUUUCUUCUUCUCCUGGCCAGAAGCUGAUGAGAAUGCAUAUUUUAGAAGAGAUGCAACUCUUACACGAGAAAAUCAGGGCAGCAAAAGUCGAUUCUGUGGUUUGCCGAUUAAUGUUGCUCAUGAAGUUACUGAAGGUGGAUAUUCUCCCUCUACUAUGUGGUCAUGUCUCUAAACCAUUUUUUAAUGCUAAUGCAUUUGUUCCUGGACCAACUGCUAAUUUAGCCUCAAAUCAAUGUCAAUUUUCAUUUUCUGGGGUUUGGCCAGCAUGUGGAUGUCCUUCCCUAUUCUCUCAUCAUCCAUCAUGUGUAGAUCCUUAUUUUUACCUUUUUUCCGCCAAUAGUCUUUUGCUCCCAUUUUUACAUUACGUAAUGGGAAUGGCUGCAGGUAUUGGAAAAGAAAGAAUUGGAUUGCCAAUCUGAUAACACUGCAAAGAAAUCAGAUUUGGAAGCCAAGAUUAUUCAGUUGGAGGAGAAAAUAUCCAACAACUGUGAUAGCAAGAGUCUCCAUGAUGAUUUAGAUCAUUGUAUUAGCUUAUCACUGGAAAAGUUGCACCUUGCAAAGAAGGUAUUGGGUCUUAUUACUACCCUUGAGGACUUAUGUCAUCUGAUCGUAUAUUUUGGUCCACUGCCAGAAUGUCGCCAAUCCAUAAUUUCUUGCACGUAUCUGAUCAGCACGUAUUUUUUAUUUUGGUUGCUGAUCAACACGUUUGAGUCAUGGUGAUUAGUCAAUGAUUGAGCACAAUAGAGGCUAGUUGAUGGUAAUCCAUCAUGGUGGUCCAUAUAUGAAUUGGAAUGUACUGCAGGGUCUGAAUCACAAAUGAUAGCAAUAUAUGGAUCUUCUUGACUACCUGGGAUUCUGAUGUUCUUUUUUUCUGUUAGCCAAGGAGUUGUUAUAUUACUGUGUGUUCAUGUUCAUAUUUUCUGCAAAAGAAUUUUGGCUGAUGCUUUCUUCUGCCAUCCCCUUGUAACUUGUACGGAUUAUAGUGAGCAGAAACAUAAUGGAAGUUCUCUUUUCUUGGGGGCCCUUUCUUUAGUUCAAUGGAUGGGACUAAUAGUGUUUGAGAUGAAUUGCUAAUUAGCUAGUACAGUUCACUGCUUAUCCUCUCUGCUUGUUGUGAACUUAAUUUGGUCUACCUUUGGAAUUUGACAUUGGAUGGCUCUAAUCAAAUCCCGUCCUGUCAUAAGAUUUUGGUCAAGAUGUCUUCUUUGAUUUUAUGUUCAUGUUGUUAUAACGGUGCAUGCAAAUUUUCUUACAAGACCGCAAUGAUUAUGAUUAAAGAAAAUAACGGUGUAUCAAUUGGGUAAAAUUUGUCUUGGGAUUUUAAAUCUUUCAUGUUUUCUGAUGUCUAUCCAGUAAACUGCUGCCAUCGACCAAGGUGUAGCAUUUCUCUGUGUGUGCAGUAGAGCAAUUUAAUAUCCUUCGGCCUUGGGCCCAAUUUUGGCAGGCAACCUUUUAGUGCUGGAUUUUUUCAAGAGGAUAUUGUUUUUGUUAUGAUUUCUUUUGCAGAAUGCAGUACAAAUGACUUGCUGUUGCAUGCCUGAUUUUAUUGGUCCAAAGAUAUAGCUUAGCUGUCAUACCUUUUGAGCUUAUUUUGUCCUGCAAUUCUCAUUUAUGGUGCAUAAUGUAUUCCUGAUGGUAGGAACUAGCGGCUAGACUGAGGAUGGUAUUGUCUGUAAGGCGGCAACUUGAAGAUGUGCCUUCCCAAUCGGAACUCAUUCAGUAUGUUCUCUCUCUCCCUUGCCUUAAUUUUGUCUUUUAGAUUUCUCUAGAAUCUAUGAUGCGCUGGUCUACUUUUAUCACCCAGAUUUUUCAAUUUUCUUUUGGCUCCUGAUUUCAUUGUCUUGAUUCAAUAGACGAGUUUUAUCAUUUCCUAGUCCUUACUCUGGUGCCCGUAACAGGUAUUUUCUUUAUUUAGCAUUUGUAGUCUGUGUCAAAAUCAUAAUAUGGGUUAUAAAUUGAUAUAGUCCGUAAAAGGCUAGAUGUGUGCUGGUGCUCCAACACAUCUAGCCUUUUCUCCUUUGUUGUUCUUUUCCUGUCUAACUGAAGAUCCAAACUCUAGUUUUCUUCUUGUUCUUCUCCUUGAGUGCAGUUAGUAAUGUUCUAACAUGAAAAUAUGAAUUAAGCUAUGGGAUCCUGCACUGAUGAGAUAUGUAGAUCAAACUACUCGCAGUGGUGAGAUGAAAUACUUAAAAUGAAUCGUCGGCAUGCAUUGGAUUACCAACUAUCUAAAGAAAACAUUAAUCCCAACAAGUUAACUGAUCCUACCAGUAAGGGACCUUAAAAUUGUGAUUUACACAUAAUCUAGGGAUGAAACUAUGGGAGUGAUGGGGGUUACAGGAAGUACUUCAUGUUUAUUCACGUUAAAGGGUUCUGAAACUUUUAUUGACAAACAGGCUUGCCUUAUAUCCAAUUAUUGUCAAGCUAAAAAACUAUUUUGCUGACAAAGUAGAAGAUGUGAGAGAUUUUGUGGAGAGGUUGCUCAAAUUUUUGAAAUUUCGGGAGAUUAUCAACUGUUUUUAAAGUUUAAACUAUUAGAUGAAAGCAUGAUUGGUUUAUUAUCAUAACUCUAACAUUACCACUUUUUCAUACUCUAAACAUUUAUGAUUUUUUAUGUCUAUGUCUGCACUAUGGAUGUAAACAUAAAAAAUCACGUUCUUAUAUCGGGGGACAAAAAUGGCCCCCCUUUUUAAUGUCCAAAACAUAUAUCAUGAACCCGUCCUUGAGGGUAUAAAAGGGCCAUUGUUGUCUUUUCCGUUCAAGCGAUCAUUCAUGGCAGCGACAUGGUUAAUGAUGUUUACGUGUCAUGCUGACUCGUCACUUUCUUUUCUUUUUUUAAAUUAAAUAUAAAUGUUUUUUCAGCUAAAAAAUAAUUUUCACUUAACAUUAAAAGAAAAAAACCAGUUGAAAUAGAAGAGGAGUGAGGGGAAGGGGUAGUGGCCGACGCCAUCCUUGAGGGUGGCAUUGGCUGCAUCGACAUCUUUCGUUGACAUAAUUAGUUGAUGCCAUUGUCAUUUGGCCAUAGGACAGAGUAGUCAAAGGCAACUGCAGAGAGAAGUGCCAUUGGUGUUUGUGGUUGGGUGUGGAUAGAGGCUGAAUAUUUGACAGUUAUGCAUGAUAAAAUUUACAAACAAAUUGUAAGUGUCUGUUAAUGGAACACUUGGAUCAUCGAGCUAAGACCACUCUUAAUGGAACACCAGCACUCUAAUAGUCACCUCUUUGCUAGCCCUUGUAGCCACGGCAACCAUUCUGCUCCAUCAAUGACUGCUCUCGCGACCUUUUUGCACUAAUCUAGAGUCAUUUUGAACCUCCCAGAUUUAGUUAUUCAGUAUAAAAUUAAGCCAAGUUUUUGUGUGACAUGUUGCGGUUGACACUAGCCUCAAGGGCAGUAUCGACCACCGCUGCUGGCCCACCCCCUUCCCCUAUCUCAUUCUACAUCCAUUUGCCUUUGUUUUUCCUUUAAUCUUAAAUAAAUAUCAUUUUUUUAGUUUAAAAAUGGCAUCUUAUGUCAACUGCCUCAUAGGAUCACUUGUGUGGAAAAUACAACAGUGGCCCUUUUUGUUCCUUGACUAAGAGCACGUGAUUUUUUUUUUUUUUUGAAACAUUCAAAUUGGGGCCAUUUUUGUCCCCUAGGUACAAAUACGUUAUUUUUUUUAAAUUUUUUUUUGAGACUUGGUUCUUGUCAACCUGCUGAAAUUGCACUGCAUCUUUUAUGCUCAAAAUUACCAACUUAAUGUUGUCUCUCCUUACUAUCUCCCCAGCAAUGCCAAACAUCAUAGGUUGUAAAAGAUUUUGUGGGACCACUGUCAAUAGUUCUAAAUGAUUAGAUUGUUGGAUGAAGGUGUGGUAUAAAUAUUUAAAGACUUCAACACCCCUACUCGUGCAUAGGCUGGAUUUUGACACAACAUUAAAACAUGUAAAUAUAUAGUAUGGGAAGUAAAUAAAGGCCUGAAAAGAUUUGAACUCAGAACUUGCUGUUCUGUUGCCAUUAAAGAUUUUAUGGAACCGUUGCUAACUGUUUUAAAAGUUUAAGUUGUUAGAUGAUGGCGUGGUUUUAAUGUUUAAGUUCUUACAGGAGGAUUUUGGGUCUUCUCUUCUCCUUUUAAGUAUUUCUACUACUUGUUAACUUUAGAUAGUUGAUCCUGUUCACAUGAUGAUUUGCUUCCUAAUUCCCUCCUGAAACAAAUUUGCUGUGCUGGGCAUUGUUAAUGGGGUUUAAGUUUUAACUAUCAGAGUGGAUCAAUCUGGGUAUGGUUUAAGGGUAAUUUUCUUCCCUCAGUAUGAAAGUAUGUUCUUUAGGGAUUGGUAACAAAGUGCUCUUUGCAGGUAUGAACGCCGCUUUUCUGAGUUGAAUAUAAAUAUUGAGGUGAGGAAUUCAUUUUUUGAGGCUUUGCUUCUAUGUAUCUUGUACAUUAUAUUGGUAUAACUAUUCUUAGUGCUGACACUGCAAUUACAAUUCCUUUUGUUUGUUAAUUUACAGGAAAUUCAUAGACAAACACGUAAAUACUAUGCAACAUAUAAUGCACUUUUGGAGCUUAAAGAGCUAAUGCUGAAGGAAACAUCAUUAUUGAAUUCGCUAAAUUCCCAGGUAUAAUCACUUGAAGAUCUUGAUUAAUAUGUGUCAGUUCCCCCUCAUCUUCUGAAGUGCUCCCCAUGUCCUCUCCUGUAAUCAUUCUAUUUUACCAGCUAUCUUCUCUUCUUUCUUUGAGUCUCAUGAACGUUGCCUCAAGUGAGAAGUAUCUAGCUGCAGUGAAAUUCAUUUUGAAAGGGCUCAUGGGCCCCCAUAGAUUUCUCUUUUAGCGAAGCCCUUAAUUCGUAUUAGAAUUCUAAAGGAAGUUAUGACUGCAUAUACUGUGUUAGAAACUUCCAGUGAAGUUCCUCUUAAACAUGGUUUUACGUACUCUUUCUAAUGGUUUAUAUCACAAACAUAAGCUUUUGGUUGGUCAUCAACUUUUUCACAGUUUUAUCUUCCCUGAAACUAUUUUGUUUAUAAUUCCAUUCAGUUUCAAGAUGCCAUAAGUGAUACUGCUGGUCGCCUGAAACUUAUUGACUCCAUGGAAGGAAUUCUGAAGGGCAUAAAGCAGGUAACAUUAUACACAAACUUUGUGCCUUCUCCUCCUCUGGCUUGGCUUAGAGUUAAUUUCACUGCAUGAAGUUGCAACACGGAUUAUACGAUACUAUGUGCAAUUUUUACGAACUAUACAUCAUUGCUGUAUCUUCAGCUAAGUGACAAUUGAACAAUCCGUCUUGUGCUGAACGUUCUAUGGUCGUGUUUUCAGAAAAUAAAAGAGAUUGCUGUUGCCAUCUUUCAGUUGCAUUUUCUUGCUGGUUUAUUCUUGUCACCUCUCUUUGAACAUCUCUACACGUCUACGUCUUCUCUGUUUCCUGUAAAGGGUUGGAUGCCUUAUUAUUUAAAAGAAUAUAUUUGGGGAUGUCAACUUGCAUAAAUAGACAGUUUCUUGGUAGAACUUUUUCCAUUUAAUCUUUAGUGGGAAGAAAGAUAAUUGGUGCUGAUAUGUUUCUUUUUAGUUUUGGUACUCUGUUCAUCAAUUGAUCUUUAUCCUCAUGUUCGUGUUUGCGUCUCUUACAGCACCCACCUAAUUGCGAUUGUUCGUCAAUUGACUUACACAUCUACUAAUACCACUUUCUCCAGUUACUACUUUUAUAUAUUUUCUGAUGCCCAUUGGGAGAGCUCUACAGGCGUGAUGAAAGUUCUGAGAAAAUUUUUGAUAUCUUGGGUGUUGGAAGAUUUUUGGGUUGGCUGAGCCUGAGAUAUGUCAGUCUUAGACGCUUAAACUAUGUGUUGUAAAAUGAGGCCCAUGACAAACUUUCUCAAAAGAAUGGAGAAAACUAUAAAUCAGUUUUAUUUCUUUUUUCCUUUAGCAGUUUUUUUGGAUUAGGCAGCACAGACAGAUUGUGUUGUUAUGCAGAAGCUACAGAAAGUGCAAGAGGGGAUCCAGGCUGAUCAGAGAGUCUGCAAUACACUUAGGGAGAAGUAUGCGGCAGCAGCAGCUAGUCAGAGAUGCGGUUCUAGUCUGUUAAGAGCUCUUCAGGUAACCACUUGCGCCAGACCAGUAACUAACUGAAGUACACUGUUCUUCCUCAUCUUUGUGCCCACACUGAAAUGUGUUCUUAAAUAUAAGGAAGCCAAAUGUGUUCUGUUUUCAUGUGUAUAGAGUCGGAUCCCAUAGUCAGGGGUUCUUGUGAUGAUGCUAUGGAAGGUUAUUACUGCCUCUUAGUUUUUAUGAGGUCAUUGUCUACAGUGGCAGACACUACAAAUGAACAAUCUUUCUACAGACAUAUCCUUUUUUACCAUGGUUUUGCCCUAUCUUGGGACCUCUCUGUGAAGUUGACAUUAUAAAAUCACUUAGUCCCUUCCUUGUAGUUAAUUCACCUCUUUUUAGUGGGUCCGAGUAAUAUUGUAGCUCCAAAUAAAAGAGGAAAUGGUUCUUGGCCUAGUGGCGUUCAGGGAUAAUUUGAUCUGUAUAGGAAGAGGGAUGCAAAUCAUCCAUUUUCUAAGGAGUCUCUUGAGGAACUAAUGUUCAGGGUGCAAUCAAGUUAUAUCGCCACUUGUUUUAUAAUCUUCUAUCGACUGGGUAAUUGGCACUGAGUAAUUUAAUUACAAUCUGAUCUCUCUUCUUUCUUACUGCUUAUUUAGAGAAACCAUGGAAUAAAUGGCAUAUGUUUGAAAAAUUAGUAGAUCUUUUGGGAGGGAGUGAUGACAAAUAACCCUACGGCAAAGAGAAACUAUUCUCACACACGUUUUUCUUUUUAAAAUUAUUGUCACCAAUCAAUACCAAUUCAUUGUGCGUAUCUUGUUUAUGUUAGUUGUGUUCUGUUCGAGUUUCCUAAUCCUUAGCUAUACAUUAGCUUAGUCUAGUGCAUUGCUUCAAGAUCCUACAAUAGUUAAUUCACCCAAAGCCUAAAUUAAGACACCUGAUUUCCAGGAGGAAAUCGCAAGAAACCAGAGACUUAAGAGUGAACUUAAGUCCAGAAAUGCUGCUACACCAUGUGAAGUCGAGGUGAUAGGAAGUUUAUGAAGUUGUGGAACUAAUACGAGGGUGCACCUUUGGUCAAGAUGAUUCACGUGACCUGUGUACCGCAUGCCUGCGUACGAAACUAGUAGUCUAUGCAAUGCAGGAUUGAGGCUACGUGCAUCUGGUCAUCCUGAGAUUCCUCAAUGUGGGGGCAUCAUGGAUUGGGGGUCCCAGUUAGCAUGUUCAGGUAAAUGAUUGCAGAUU